rnacentral:lncRNA from 1 species
UACGGGGGAAUGUGUGAACAGAAAAGUUUUUAGGUACAUAAACGAAAAAAAGGCUAAUCUCUUAUAAAGGGCUAAAUUUAAAUCUUGGUAUAGUUCUAAUUGUACAAUUGUCCAGUUCUUUAAUUCCUAAUGCCAUGGAACAACACAAAUAAUAUGGACCGGAUGGGAAGAAUAUUCAUAAUUUCCGCAAUUGAUCUUCUCUGUUCCUUUUUUACCUGUUGAGAUGUUUAAAUGAGGCUACAUGCAUGGUAGAAUUCGAGGUCGCAAUUAAAAAAAUAAGAUACGAAUAUCAUAGAGUUAGUCAUUCUCUAACAAAUAAUGAUAAAGUAACAAUCAUUUCAUUGUUAGAUUUUUUGAUAUAAUUCUGCCAUUAAUGUAGAUUUAAUGAAAUGAUAAUGUUUUUAUAUGUUGAUAGGUUGCAUUUUUGUCAUUAAUUCUAUUAUUAUUUUCCUCUUUUAUUAAACCAAAUAUUGUAUUGAUUGAUAAAUUCUACUUAUAUUUGGUAUUUGGUACUAAUUGUAGGAAGGUGGAGCAAAAAGAGAUAAAAGAUGUGAUUUUUCAAGAGUUUUCCAAUUCAAAAUGGAGCCUACGUGAAUUAUUGGUGGAAGAUUAGAAGGAAGUCUACUUGGUUUCAAAAAGCUAAAAAUUAGGAAAAUGAUAGGAUGGCCGGCCCAUGUGAUUAAUACGGGAAGGAGUCAGCAAUUACGAGAACUGGAAACUUGGUUUUCAUUUGACUAGUAGUUAUUUCCUUAAACAAUUCCUGAGUUUUCGAAAUUAGUGGUGAUAGACUAGUAGUUAAUAGGUCACUUAGGUUUUCCUUUCUUUUAGAGGGGAGAAACUUUGCAGAACCGCUCCCUUAGGCUAGAACCGGAUUUGCCCGAGAAGUAUACCACGAACUAGUGCGCCUUUUACCGGAGGCGAGAUCGCUUCAAUCGGACCGUGACUCCUGAGAGAGAACGGCCGCUUGGCCCCUCAAUUCGCCUUGCUUUCAUGAGUUUUAGAAAAAAAUCAAUUGCAGCCAGAUUCCAUGGAGUCUGGCAGAAUUUCUUCUAGGAUGAACCACUAAUCUUCUUUUCUAGUCAAGGGGACAACUGACAUUUGAUUCGACAAUUUCUGUGAGAUCUAAAUUAUUUUAACUAUUUCCUUCAUUUAUUGGUAUUUAUAUGUUUUCUACUUUUAAUUGUUAUAGCCAUUGUGUAUGAUUAAAUAAUGCGCAAUAUUUAAUUAUUCAUAUAGGCUAUAUUUGCUAAUUGGGGGUAGUUGAAUUCGUAAUUAUUUGAUUAUCUCCAUCCCAAUAGCAACUGACUUAAUUAGACUUAUGUCAGAAAAACAUACGGUCUAACUUAAACAAACUAUCGUAGCGUGUUUGUUAGUUAGGAUUGGAUUUUUCUAAAUUUUAAUACAAACCAGAAAUUAAAUCCUACAGUCGUACCUAGGGUUGUUUCCGAGUUAGAGAAAUAGUUAAUGAUCGUACCUUAACUAUCGACAAACUAAGAAAAUGUUGGUUGUUUAUCGCGUGUAUGACAACUAUAACCAAUCUAUUAAUAAAUGUUGGAAUUAUUCUUGAAUCGAUGAUCAGUUGCAUGAACCAUUUCUGAAGUAUACCCUUGGCUAGAGUUCUCCCAAUUAUUUCCUUUAAUUAAUUAUUUUCUGCAUUUAAUUUAUUUAGUUAUCAAUUCAUUAGCAUCUAAUCCUAAAACCCCCACUAAUCUUGAUUCGAAAAAAAACAAAUUUCUCUCCAAUCCCUGAGUAGACGACCCUACUUGCCACUGUCUACUAGUUAGUGAAUUCAAUUAAAUAAUUAAUUAUGGCAUAUCGGAUUAAGCAAACUCUUCGGGAACAGGAUGAAUCAAGUAACCCAUUGCACACCUAGGGUCCCUGCUCCAGUACUAUGAUUGAUUAUUGAUUGCUUCAGGUGGUAACUAUGUUUUAUUUAUUAUUAUUGCACAGGUUCAGCACCUGUUAAUUUUUGGCGCCGCUGCCGGGGACUAGUGUCUGAUUAAUUUAUUUCUUUUUAAGUUCAUCUUGUUUUCAUUUUUUUUUAUUUUUCUCUUACUUUUUUUAAUAUAUAGUUUAUGGCUGCUAACAUUCCGUAUUUUGGUGAUAGACUGGAUUUUAUUUCUAGAAGAGGUUAUGAGACUCGUACUUUUUCUAAUGAUCAAUGGGCUGUUGCAAAUAGUGGAACUUAUUUUGCCUUACAUUAUUCAACCGACAUAUGUCCUGCAUUUCAAAAUGGUUUAAGUGUUCCAAUCGAUAUUUUUGAAAAUUUUUCACCUCAAUAUCAAACGUGAUAUGAUCCUUAUUCAAACGGGUAUGAUCAAGGAUGGUGGGAUGAUUCCAAUUUUAAUUAUGAACAAAGGGCAAUAGAUUUUCAACAGCUAGAGUCUCAAGAACCGUUAUUCAUGUCAGGUAUGUCUCUUUAAAAAAAGUUGAAUUAAUAGCUACUAACACAUAUCAAUUUCAACAAGAGACACAAAUGAUGAUUAAAGAGAUGGAAAAAAGAAUGUGUGAAUGGGCAUCUACAAUGAGCAAAUUGAUUUUCCCAAUUUAUAAAGAAUUGCCCUCACAGACCAUCAAUGAUCUUAAAGAAAAUAAAAGUUCAAUUAUCCUGACAAAUGACAUGAAACUGCAAGAGUCUCAAGAAAAAGAAUCUAAAGAUGCAGUUGAAAAGGGAAUUGAAUUAGAAAAAAUGGAAGUCCAAUAUCAAAUGGUUCAAGUGAAUGAAUCCAGUGAACAAUCUCCAAAUGCGGUGACAUCUCCUCUAUUCCUUUAUCAAUAUUCUUCUGACUCUUAUUUUUCAAUUUCUGUUAGUGAAAUUGAUUUUAUUAUACCAGAAGAUUUUGAGUUUCAUAACAGAAAUAAGUUAAGAGUUGCAAUGGCAAAAUAUCUCGAACCAGUAAGUGUUCGUGAUAGAAGAGUGAGUGAAGAAUUAAAAUCCUUGUUGACUUGUUUGGCACCAUCUACUAGUCCAUGGAAGACCGUAGCUCAUGUGUUCAAGAAUUACUCUAUUUAUGAGGGCUAUCAGGAUUACAUAGAAGAUGAAGUACUGAAACGAGUUACACGAUUUUAUCCUCCUUGAAUAAAUAUGGUAAUAUCUAAUUAAAGACAUUAAAGAAAGGCGCUGCUUGGGAGGCAACCCAAGGUAGGGGUGGCAAUUUUCGACACGACCUGAAAACACGACACGAACCUAACACGAAAUUAAUGGGUUUGGGUUGAGGUUUUGGGAAUUCGGGUCAGAAUCGGGUUGGACCCGAUGAACUCGAAAAGAAAACAUGUCGAUUUCGGGUCAACUCGUGGUGACCUGAUAUGACCCGAUAUGACCCGUUUACGAAAUAAAAAUAAUUUAAUAAAUACAAAAAUAAUUUUAUCUAACUAACCUAAGUUAUUCUUUUUUUCAAAGGCAUUAAUUACUUAAUCAUAAAUGAAUUUAUUUAAUUUGUGUGAAGUUGAAAUUAUUAUAUUUGGAUAAAUAAUAUAUUAUAUUAUUUUUUACUUUUAUACUGUUUUAAUUUAUUUUAUAUUUUGUUUGGGAUAAAACACUUUUACGGUGUUUAAUUUAUUUUAGAUUUGGUUUGGAAUUACUUAUUUAAAUUUUUAUUACUUGAUUAUGUAAUUAAUUUUGUGAGAAAUUGAUUUUAUUAGAAAUUACAGUGAUAAAUUAAUAAAUUAAAAUUAAGUUUCGGGUCAUUUCGGGUCGACCCGCCAACCCGUCAACCUGAAAUUUUCGGGUUCGGGUCAGCAUACCUGACCCGUCACGGGUUGGCGGGUCGGGUUCGGGUCAACAGAUUUUCUGGCGGGUUGACCCGAACCCGACCCGCCAACCUAAUUUGGACCCGAAUUGCCACCCCUAACCCAAGGCCUUUAUUUUAGUUUUCUUAUUUUUUUGAGUUUCUGUUAAGUGUUAGUUGCAUUUAGUGAUUUGUUGCUUUUGUGGCAGGAAGCUGGCAAUUAGAUGUGCCCACGCUAGGUAGUCACGCCUAAGGAAGGAAGUUUUAAUUUGGUGGAAAGAAGACUACCCAGCAAUUAGGCGUGCCCACGCCAGAUGGUCACGAUUAAGGAAAGCAAUUUUCUUCUGUAGUCAGAAGACUCUAUAGUAGUUAGACGUGACCACGCGAUUUCGAUCAAAAUGAAACUAAAUUUAGGUAAUACCUUAGCUAAAUAUGCUGUAAACAUUCAAAUGAUGUUGUUGGGUAGUCUUACAUCUUCCCGUUAUGCUUAGCACAAUUCCACGGUAGUGACAAGAGGUCAUUGCCCACAAGGUAAAGCUUUUAUAACACUUUGUACAUAUAUGAGGGGUGUGUGAAAUUUGCCAGUUUGACCCCCAAAAAACAAUCGUCACCACCAUAAAUUUGGUUAACUUAUGGAUCUUUGGUAAUGUUCGUGUUUUUCCAUUCAUGUUCUUUGUUUUUUUUUUUCCAGAAACGUUAAGAGAUUAUAUUGAUAAACCAUAGUAACUUUACAAAAGUAUGGGUAAAUACCCAAAGACACUAUACAUAGUGUACGAAGACACUAAGGAAACAAACGUUCCUCAUCUAACUGAAUGCCUGUAGCAUAUGAACUAAUCUAUCUACUUCUAUCUCUUUGUUCAUCUUGGAGCAAAUAAAUUGAGCAUUGCCUAAACAUUGAUCUGAGGCUAUUAAUGUCCUCCACAUGUGCAAAUAAUCUGAUAUCCUUGGAUCUUCUUGACAGUAAUUGUCUUAGCAAUUGUUGAUUCGUGAUUCCAAUCCUUACAAUUGACCAGUGUUGAGCUCUUGCUCUAGCCAUUGCCAGUUUCACUACUUCUGCAUAGUCCAAAAGACAGUUCCCCAUGCUCCUUUCUCUCAUGAACCAACCACAUGCCCAUCAUCUUUGUGUGAUAUAGCUACUUCUACAUUGAUACCCUCCUCCUCACAUGUGUUUAAACCAAACCUGUCAAGUGCAUCUAGUGUUUCUAGAAUGCUCAGACUCCUGUUCCCUUCCAUCACCGUCAAGUGUUCCACCCAUUCUUGUAUGGCUUUCUGUAUUACUUGUAAUGAUUGCUUUUUUUUUCCUUGGAAAACUCUCUCAUUCCUUGCUUUCCACAGCUGCCAUAGUAUGUUGACCGUAAGGCCUAUAUGAUCCAAACCUUCCUGCCUGUAUCUUGCUCCUACUAAGACAUUCCACCAUUUCUUGAAACAUCCUCUUUGAUCCUCGAUCUCAUCCUAGGUGCUAUAUUCCACACGUGUUCUGCCUUCUUACAAUGAAAAAAAAGUGUUCCACUGUUUCUUCUUCUUCUUCUCCACACCCUGUGCACCUGGGAUCUCCCAUCUUAGUUCUGGCAAAAAUUAGCUUAUUAACUAGAAGUGCAUUGUUCAAACCUUUCCAGAUAAAAACUUUUAACUUUUGUUUGACCUUCAACUUCCACAGCUGCUUCCACCCUUGCUUACCAUCAUAACACCCGCUUGAGCUGUCCUCUCUCCUAUUGCCACUCUUCUCCUGAUCCUGUUUUUUGUUCAGUUGUUUGUGUGCUGAUCUCACAGUGUAUUGUCCCCACCCACUAUGGAUCCAGAAAUUACCAUCCUCUCUUCCUGUUAGACUUAUAGGGAUCUUUAAUAACUUGCUUGCAUCAUCUUUGUUGAACGUCAUAAACACCAUUGGUCUAUUCCAUCUGAAAUUGGAGAUCAACUAGUCCACUGUAUUAAGGUGACAGCUUGGUGGCUUUACUGAAGUUGGCUUCCCUUGUGGAGAAUCUGGUAUCCACUUGUGCUCCCAUAUCCGUGUACUUCUCCCAUUUCCUAUUUUCCUUCGAACUCCUUCUUCCACUAAUUCUCUUGUUCCCAUAAUGCUCUGCCAAAUCCAUGAGGAUGUUUUAGGAACUUUGCAACUGAAUAUUGACUCAUUAGGAUGAUAUUUGGCUUUGAGCACCUUACUCACUAAUAAGUUUGGUUUAGUUAACACUCGCCACACCUGUUUCCCCAAAAGAGCUUUGUUGAAACACUGCAAAUCCUUGAAUCCCAGUCCUCCACAUUCCUUAUCCUAAGUCAUUUUCUUCCAAGAACACCAAUGAUGUUUGCUUUUCCCCUCUGUUUCCCCCUACCAGAACUUGGACAUCAUAGAACUAAUGUCUUUACACAGCUUGGAAGACAACUUAAAACAUGACAUGGCAUAAGUUGGCAUUGCCAAUGUCACGGCCUUAAGUAAGACCUCCUUGCCUGCAAAACUCAAAAACUUGUUCUUCCAGGAACUAAUUCUUUUCUGGCAAUUUUCCUUUACAAAAUCAAAAACUUGUUCCUUAGUUCUGGUGAUCACCAUUGGGAGCCCCAAGUACAUCCCUUGGCUGACUUUUUGUAUCCUUCCCAACUCCCGGCAAACCUUAUCCUUCUUGGCAUUGGAAGUGUUCUUGCUAAAGAAAACUGAGGACUUCUCAAUAUUGACCAUUUGACCUGAACUGUCCUCAUAUAGCUUUAGAAGGUGCAUUAGCUCUCUAGCUUGAUUGGGCUCAGCCUUACAGAAUAUUAAGGAGUCAUCUGCAAAAAACAAGUGUGUGAUUGAUGGACCUCUUCUGCUAAUUUUCAUACCAGUGAUUUUCUUAUUCUCUUCAGCUUUUUUGAGGAGAUUAGACAUUCCCUCUGAGCACAAGAGGAAAAUAUAAGGUGAUAGUGGAUCACCUUGUCUUAUACCUCUUUUUGGAGUAACAAAACCUCUAUGCUCCCCAUUGACAUUGAAUGAGUAUGUGACUGUGGUAGUACAACUCAUAAUCCAACAGAUCCAUUUGUUGCAAAAACCCAUUUUCUUCAUUACCACCCCCAAGAACCUCCAUUCCACCCUAUUAUACGCUUUAGACAUGUCCAGCUUUAAAGCCAAAAAACCUGCAUUUCCUUGCCUUUUGUUCUUAAGAUGGUGCAAAAAUUCAUGUGAGAGAAUCACAUUGUCUAGUAUUUGUCUUCCUAGAACAAAAGCAGCUUGGUUUUUGCUUAUGCAGAUUUCCAACACCUUUUUCAGUCUAUUAGCAAGAAUUUUAGAAAUCACUUUGUAAGUCACAUUGCAAAGACUAAUGGGUCGAUAAUGCUUCAGAUCAGCGGGGUUACCUAAUUUAGGAAUGAGAGAAAUGACAGUUUUGUUCAUUGCCUUAAGCAUGUGACUAGAAUGGAAAAAACUUUGGAUGGCCUUAACCAUGUCUUCCUUAAUGAGGUACCAAAACUUUUGGAAAAAAAGAAGGGACAUUCCAUCUGGUCCUGGGGCUUUAUUAGGAUUCAUUGAGAACAAGGCUUUCUUUACUUCUUUUUCUUCUACAGCUUUGGUUAAGUUGUUGUUUAUUUGGUCAGUGAUUGAGUGUGGAAUUCCAUCAAGUAUUUCCUCCAAACACUGCCCUCCAAAACUAGUGAACAACUUUCGAUAACACCUCUCAACUUCUGCCCCUAGCUCUUGUUCGUUUUUAGUCCAAGUCCCAUCUGCUCUUUGUAUGUUUAGUAUCUUAUUCCGAAUCCUCCUUCCCUUGACACAUGCAUGGAAAUACUGAGAAUUCUGAUCUUCGUCCCUCAACCAACUUACUCUAUCCUUUUGACACCAAAAUAGUUCCUCAUCCUCAUAGGCUAGUCUCAACUAGUUUUUCAAAUCUUUAUAUCUCUCCCUACUAUUUUGGUCUGACCCCUUUCUGAUCUCUACCAACUGAUUCUUCACCUCCUCAAUUCUCCUUCUUGAGUUCUCCUAAAAAUUAUUCCUCCACUUCAAUAACUCAACUAUGCAAUUGGCGAUUUUUUCUUUUAUUUUAUACAUUCUUGAUCCUUCACACCCCACAUUCCAGGCUCUUUCCGCUACCUGACACAUGCCUUCCUUGUUUAACCAUCUUUUAUCAAAAUAAAAUCUCUUUUUCUUUUUCCCAAAUGAAGGACUUGAAUCAAUUAGCAACAUACUGUGAUCAGAUCCUAUAUUUUCUACAUGUUUACACAUUGCUCUAUCAAAAACUUGGAACCAUUCUGUACUGCACCAUUCAUGUUCUUUGUCAUUAAUUAAUUUCUUCAGUUCUUUUAUAAAAGAACAAAAAUAAUCAGUCACAUCUGGUCUGUGUCAAAAUUUCAUAAACAAAUUAGGACAACCUCGUUUGGGAAAAUUGGUUCAUAUUGAUUUUUCUCUCCUUUGACAUCCUUUUAAUGGAUAAUUUUCACAUUUAGAUUAAUCUUCUUCAGUUAUGCACAAUAUUAUUCAUUCUUGUCAAUUAUUUGGCUAGUUAGUAAAGUUUUCAGAUAAUAAAUAUUGUGAAUGUAGGAAGAAUUUUUCAUGUGUUAAGAAAUUUAUACAAAAAUUGGCCAAAAUGAAUCGAAGCAUUCUAGGAGGAGCACGAUCUUUUUUUCUUUUUCUUUUUUUCCUUUUCUUCCCUUGUAAUUGAUCGCUUUCGACUGUAGUGAAAAGCAUUGUAUAAAUUGCAGCUUAGUCAAAGGAGAAUAACUGAAAAAGUUAGUGCAAAAGAGUUUUAACUUGCUACAUAUAUCUUAAAGGGAUGAUUGCUUUACACAUAUAUCAUGAAAUCACCUCUUUUUCUCGCAUUUUGUAGAAUGUUUGAAAUCUUAAUAUAUGAUUCAUCGGCAAAACUUAAGUAUUUGACUCUAUCAGCGUUGGAUGAAUGACAACUAUACAAAAUUUGAAUUUAAAAUUCAAUUUUUGUACACAUGUCAUGAAUCAAGCGGUGAUAUUGUAUACACUAUCAGUAUAUAUAAGAUUUACUCUUCUUAUUUCCUUUAUCUACACUAUUCACAAUUUUACAAACUAGCAGUAAAGUCUGUCUAAUCAUCCCAUUGCCACUAUGAGCAAGGGUAAAGAAAGACACAAAAGUGCAAAUUCUUUUAAAAUAUGAAGUUACAUCAGAAAAAUGUCUAAAUAUAAUGAGGGUAUAUAUAAUCAUACGAUAAAAAAGGUAUAUUAACUAGUAUUCAUCUAAAUCGAGCACCGCUUAGAAAAAUCCUUAGCAAUAUUUAAUUUGACUUCAAAUUAAAGGGUUCUAAAUUGGAUAAUAUUUUGCCAAGCAAAAGAAAAAUCAGUUCAUUGUAUGCAAAAUAAUCAAAUUCAAGCACAAGGGAUCAUCAAGAUAGGAGAAAGAACAAAUCAAUAGGAAACAAUAGAGAGAGGGCAUGACGGGAGAAAGAUAUCUGCAACUGGUUUAAACAAAAUGACUCUUCAGGUGCGUAUAAAUUAAACUGGAUUAGUUAAUAAAAAUACCAAUUUUGUACUAGGCAUCCAACUAUAAGCUCUUAGAAAGAAAGCACAAGACAUAAGGUUUCUAAUGAUCUUUACACUACAGAGUCACAAAUUUACUCCACAUAGACUCAAUGAUCAAAUAUUAGGCUUCUUACAGUCUUCUUCCCUACUGUUUCAAAACUUUCUUGUGUAGCAAAGUUCUAACUGCAACUACAAAGAGAGAAUUCGGUGUAACAUGGUAGAUACUAGACAAUAUCAAAAAGAAAACCAAAUCCGAGAACAAUAGAACAUGUGGGGAAAAAUCAUUCCAAAUUUUCAGCAGAAAAUGUUAAAUAAAUUCUUUAAAAAGGCAGAAAAUAGUUUAUGUUUAGAGUUACAGGACUCAGUAUAAAUCUCACGCUUUAGUUGGUAAAUAUAUAUACAUAGAUUCUAACUAUCCCUUGUGGAUUUCUAAGCCGGACUACCAUGUAGUUGCAAAUUUACCACACCUAACCAUGUAAAUCAUCAGACCCUUUAAUUACAAUCCUUUUUGCCAUCAUGAUCUCCUGUGUAAAUUUUAUACCUAUAGAUUUCUAAAAAGGACUACCAUAAUGGUCUCCUCCCCCCUUAAAUGUGCCAACUGCCAAGAUUUGUCAUUCCACCCCAUAAAACUGAUUUGUGAAUCAAGAACUCCUACUGAUCAUAGAAACCUUUCUAAAGAAACCAAUUGCAUAGGAAAUACAAACACAAUCUUGUGAAGAUUAAGUUGUAGAGCUUAGCUGAAAAAAGAAGGCAGGAGGCUGGUAGUAACGAAUUUACAAUAAGCUGACAAACUAUCUUAAAAAUGAAUUGCCAAAAUUUUCUACUGAUUGUCUUCAACAAAUUUAGAUCCAACCUUUAGUUAAACGAAUCUCUAAUCCAAUUAAGGUUUUUUUCACAGAUUAUACACCUCAUUCUACUAUUAUGCACGCAUGCAGGAGAUGCAAACCCCGUAAGAGAAGAUAUUCACCUAAAACUAUCUUUAACUGAGAGUUAGAAUCCCAUGUCUUGCUGGUCCCUUAGGUCUCUUAUUGCACAACCUUCAAAAUCAAUCAGGAAAAGACAAACAAAGCCUAAAAGGUCACACCAGAUUGCGGGAAUCUCACAUUUGGUUGCGUCAAGUAAGAAAGCAUUAGCCGACAUUAGCUAUACUUCUACAAAUGGUUUCAAAAUCCAAUUCCUACUUUUACAAUGCCAAGCAAAGGGAGUAACUGUUUUUACUGCAUACUAGAAAAUGCUAAAACUAAACCUAAUUUUUACUACUAGAACAAGAAAGAAAGCUUGUGAGCUCACCAAUUUUCUUCUUCUAGUUCUUCUCUUCCUUCUCAAUUUCCGAGAUUUCUUGUUUGUUCUGCAACUCUCGCAACUCUCACCACUAAGCUUAACAAGGCUUUGCAACAAUAUACCCAAUUCAAAGUACUCAUCAACAAGAGGACGUUCAUUGUUAGGAUGACGAGGAACUUCUGUCUCUGGAUAACUUACUAACUCACUCUCAAGAUCACACCACAGUAGCAGCCGACUAGCCUGUCCCAAAGGCACUCGUCUACCACAUUUAGAAUAAGCUAUUAGCGUGAUUAACCACAAAAAACUGUCUUCAUUUGACCACCAGAUAUUGGGUUCAUACAGGUCGCAUUCUUCAAUAGAAAUCAAAUGAGUCCAAGAUUCCUUGACCCCAUACUACUUCAUUACCCAUAUAUCAACGGUAAAAUCGAUUGAACGAUCAUAAAUUAGACACAUGCAUCCUGCAAAAAUGCCUAAAUUCCCAAACCCACGCAAAAAUUGUCGUCGGGUAUUGACAGUAACCUGUAUUCCUCUGUUACCAGAUCAACUGCAGCAAUAAGUUCCUCAGACUUGGGAUGUGAAGUCGCUUUUACAACCUAAUGCAAUGCGCCAUUAGCAAGCUUUCCAUUCUUCGGCUACUCAAAAUGAUAAGGAAGUUCCAGAACCCUUCGCCAAGAAUCCAACUUCAAACAAUUAACCUAAACUAUAGUAUUAUCAGCAGCAUUUGCAAUCUGUAACAUAACAAUAACCUAUAAUCAUCAUUCACAAAGUCAUACACAAACCCAUAUACAGGUAGUUCUGAGUUACCAGUUCUUCUAAUCUCAAAGAACGGUAAACGUCGAUAUUCUCUAGUUGAUGGGUUCCACAAAAUAAUAUGAUUUCAUUCCAAAGGUUCUCUUUCCGUACACAAAGCAGUCCACUGGAUGAACCCAAGAUUUCAUCAAACCUGGGACGUGGUACUAGAAGAUUGAGUUCAUUGAAUUUGGCGCAGCCUGUUUUGAGGAAAGAAUCAUAAUCUGCAAAGUAAAGGUAUUUUUCUUCCUCCUCGUCAUCCACGUACUUGAUAAUUCCUUGGAUAAGGGUGUAACUGGAGGAAUUGGUCAAGUAUUUUCUGAUGAACUCUGGGCUGCCAGUUACGUCUUGCCAUAGUUUCGAUAAGCACCUAAAUCUUAUGAGGGUUUUUACAAGGAGUCUUGAAAAAAUUUCUUCAAUUAAUUCAUUUGGGAUUAUCAUGUCAGUCAUCAUUCAAAGCUUGUUGCUUUCUCGGGUUAAAGAUUUUAAUCUUGAUUAGGGCACCGAUAUUUCUAUGAUUAUGCAUAUGAUCAAUAUAUACAUGGAUGAGCUAUAGAAAUAAGAAGACAAUACGUGGUUCUAGGGACUAAAAAGGGAAAGAUUUUUAUGGUUUUUACAGAAUGUUGAAGUAUAUUAAGCGGCACCUAUACUGAUUAAGUAAUAAUUGAUAUAAUUUUAGAUUUUUCAGCUUAUAUACAAAAUUAAUGCUAACAUUAAGAGUGCAUGGAGAAACUAUAGAAAAAAUGGAUCAACUCUUGUGAUUGGGCUCGCUUCUCUUGCUGAUUUUAAGCUUGUGUUCUGAACCUCCAAAAAAAAAUACUGUAGUUUGAUCCAAUAGGGGAAUGGGUAAUGUCAGAUUUUGAGCCUAUAUUCUUGAUCUCUGAAAAAAUUUCCAUAUUUUGUUCCAGCAAGGGAAUGGAUAAUGUACAGUUCCUGACAGUUCACAUAUAACAGGUACCAAUACCAUAAUAAAAUUAUUACAUAGUAUAUUAGUUCACAUACACAUAAAACUUGAAUGCUAUAUAUACUUUUUAUCAAACUUUUGAUAAAACUUGUAAAACCUAUGUGCAAAGUCAACUUAGUACAUAUUUUCCUUAGUUGUCAAGUGGUUAUGCUAGGUUCAUGAGUAAAAGAUUAUAUCCCAUAUUGAUUCGAGGGAUGGAGAAGGAACAGUUAAUACGUAAGUAAGGGUUCAAUACCUAAUUGCUUAAACUUUUGGGUCAAAGUUGAACUCCUAACUUACAUUUUAGACUCUUUAGUAGACUUUCUCAAGAUAUUUCUCCUUAACAAGUGGUAUCAGAGCUUUUGGUUGUGAGUCUGGAUUGCUCAUGGGCAAGUGGAUUCUUCUCAUAGUUGAAUUGGUGAAAAUUCUCUCCUUGGAGUUGGGCCGGUGAAAAUUCUUUUCUUGAUGGUGGACCAAAUUGUCAAGGAGUUUGGUUAAUGUUGGACCAGAUACACCAUGGGUUUGGCUAGGGUCCCAUUGGUCUAUGAUUCAGAGACAAUAUGACCUUGGGUGUUGGUGGACCGAAAAGAGCUUCUAGUUGUGAGUAUGAACUACUCAUGGAAAAGUGGAUUCUUUUCGAAGUUAGUCCAGUGAAAAUUCUCUUCUUGACAUCAAAGUAUCAUGGGUUUGGUUGGAGGUUCGAUUGGUCUAUGAUUGGGAGAAAAGAUGACCUUAGGUAUUGGUGGACCGAAGAGAGCUUCUAGUUGUGAGUUUGGACUACUCAUGGGAAAAUAGAUUCUUCUCGAAAUUGGACCGGUGAAAAUUUUCUUUUUGAUAAUAGACCAAAGUGUCAAGGAGUUUGGCUGAUUUUGGACCAAUGUGCCAUUAGUUUGGCUGGGGGUCCGAUUGGUCCAUGAUUGGGAGAAGAGAACCUUUAAGUGUUAGUGUUGAACCAGAUGCGCCAUGAAUUUGCCAAGGGGUCCGGUUGGUCUAUGAUUGGGAGAAGAACUUGUAAAUUUGGUUAAAUAUGGAUUCAAUAUGAGGGGUUAAUCAUGAAAAGGUAGCUGGUGUUGGACUAGCUGGGUCAUGGAUUUGGCAGGAGGUCCGAUUGGUUAUGAUUGGGAGAAGAGGUGACCUUAGGUAUUGGUGUUGAAUUAGAUGCGUCAUGGGUUUACCAGGGGUCCGAUUUAGUUGUUAAGGUGAACUUGUAUUAAAUAUUAAAAUGGGUUUGGAGAAGAGCUUGUAAUUUAUGAGUAAACGAUUAUGUCCCACGUUGCUUCAAAAGAUAGAAAACAAUUGAUUAAUAUGUAAGGAUUGGAGACCUAAUAACUUAAAUUUUUGGGUCAAAAUUGGGUUAUUGACUUACAUAUUGGACUCUUUAAGGGAUCUCUCGAGGUGUUUUCGCUAAUAGGUUAUCUUCUACUAAAUUUAAAAGCAUUGUCUCUUAAGGAAAGAAGAAUGUCUAAGUGCAAUAAUUAUUGGGGUGGAGUUGCAAUAUACAGUACAACUCCUUCAUAUGUACAUACAUAUUAGUCGAGAAGGAAAUCCAUGCAAAACAAACUAAUAUAUUUCUUCUAAACACUAACAUAUUGUAAAGGAAAAAGUCACAAAGGAACCAAACACACCAAGAGACCUGCUUUGGCUUCAAAUGUCUAUUUAUUUAAUGUCAUGACCCUUGAGCUGUGUUUAGACUAAGUUGGAUCAGCUAAUACAAAAACCAACUAAUAAUAUGCAUCCAUCAAUAAACAUUUUACAAAGAACAAAAGUCAUAACAUUUUUUAUAAUAAUUAGAUUACAUUGUCAGAGAAUUAGUUCACAUCGGUACUCCAUAGCUAGAAAUAUUAAGAAAGUUUCUUAAUGUCCUCAUUCCCAGCAAUUUUGAAACUUUCUAAUGCAAGAGAACAUAUCUGCAAGUAAAAACUAGGUUAAACAUCGUUGAAGAUAUCAUAAAAGAGAAAUUUACUAAUUUCACAACUAUAGAAUAUGAAAAAAGAAAAAAAAAAGGUCUUUCCAAAUCAGCAUCAUCAGUGAAUAAUAAGUGGGCCAGUAGCUACUUUGCUCUCACAAACAAAGAGGAUGGCUGCAAAAGAGCUUGAAUGAAGAAGAAACAUUUUUACCCAAAAAAAAAAAAUCGGAAGAUGAAACAUUUUAAGAGAGCAGAGCUAAGGAAGAAUGGUGGCCAACGGUAGGUGGUGCAGGCUGAAAAUUCAACUAUCACAAACAAGCUUAAGUCUCAUAAUAGUGAAAAGUGCACUGCUAGUUCCGGUGCUUUUAAAGAUAUUUGAUAUCUCACUUCCUUGCCUAAUGUGUGCAAAAGGAGUAAAAGCUUUAGGUGAUAGCCAACUAAAUAUGUUGCAAACAUUAACACAGAUGUUUGGACGUCUUACUUCCAUUGUCGUUAGCAUUGGUUGCACAAAAAGGACAAUAGGGCCUUGCUUCAUAUAAUGUAAAGCUAUAUAUAUAUAUAUAUAUAUAUAUAUAUAUAUAUUAACAUGGAUAUUGUUUGGACAUCUUACCUCCACCGUGGUAGCACAAGUUGCACAAAAGGACGAUAGACCCUUGCUUCAUCUAAUGUAAAGCUAUAUAUAUAUAUAUAUAUAUAUAUAGGAAUUGAUCAAGUCCUUUUUCCAAGAUUUGUCCUCAAGUCAUAUAUAAUUAUGAAACAGAUGUAAUAUUUAAACACAAGAAUACAUGUACAAACUAACUUCUAUUCUUUAUUUCAAAGACUGAUAGAUAUUAAGCAACUUAAUGCGAAUUGAUCUGAGACCAGUGUUAAGAUUCUAAUGAUGUUUCCAGCAAAGGAAAUAAUUGUUUCUGUUAUGUGUAAAAAGCAAAAAAAGGUUUACUAAUUACUGCUAUGAAAAUGGGGCUGAAAAUGCAGGCUCUGUUUGGAUCGCCAAAUUUUUUAAAUACUAGUAGUUGUAGUCAAUAAACAACCUAUUAGUCAACAUAAUGUGCUCAAAGGUCUACAGUUAUUACUGUAGACCUACGACAUCGUUUGGGUGAGAUAUACGAAAACAUCUGUUUCCAUUCUAUGAAAUGCAUUCGGCUAGCAGUUGUAUUUCGAACACUUUAGCUAUACCGUUGGAAUCUCCUGCCCACUUUGGAGUAUUUCCCGUCGAUGUAAUUUGUCUGCCAUCGCCACUUGUAAUCUUUUGAGCUCUACCACCCAUGCAACAGCGUGAAACACUUCUCAGAAACUUAGUAGUAAAUGAUAUCUCGGAUUCACUAGAGUUGAGCGAUGCAUCUGCAGGGAAAUCAACGGCAACUAACACGGAGACGGAGAGGAGGUGGUCUGAAGAACGGUGCGUGCUUACAAAUUGUGCUCAAUUGGCUUUGUUCAGUACCUUGCUCAGUACAGCUCAAGUUUAGCAGAUCCCCAUUCGAUCCAUAGGAGGUAAUUAAUUUGGGAAUGUUGUCGUACAAAUUAGGGCUGAAUUUUGACAUUUAGUUUUUGGCUUUCUUUUAGAAUUUCGAGUACUGAGCUAUCACCUAUCAUACAUUAUCAAACUUUUACACAGAAGGCACUUGACAAUUUCGAUACAUGUUCAAUAUGCUAUUAGAGAAUCAAUAACAACUUUAGAUAACAAUUUCAUAAAAUUGGUUGAGUUGUUGUUUCUAUUCUUGGACAUUUGGUUGUCUUUGUUUGGUUUUGAGGUUCAUACUUUAGUUCAUGUCAAGUUGUAGGCCUGUUGUUUCUUUUCUGUAGUCAGGCAAGCAGAUUCUCACUUUCUCUUCAAUUAUUCACGACAAUUGCUACAGUAAGAGUAUGGUAGCUUAUUAGUCACCAGUGUUUGUUUCUCUUCAAUGACUAGCUAAUGGAUUUUCUGUGGUGUUUGUUUGGCUUAUCUUGGUCCUGAACUCAAAGGUUAUGAACUACUUCAGCCUUGAAUCCAUUUUUACUUUGUCUUAGAACUGAUGCAAUUUGUUUCAAUUCCUACUUCUGUUACGUUGGAAGGAUAUUUGGAUGCACUAGACAUAGCAACAAUUUUGUGACUGUUAUUAUUUGGUCAUUAAUGACUAGAUUAAGUGACAUUGGUGUGGAAGUUUAAAAUUGCAUGGAAAUGCUACCUUGUCUACUAUGGAAAUCACAUUUAAUCUAUCUAAAUCCUAAAUAUUAGACUUUGUAGUGAAGAAGCUCAGAACAAAUAAUUAUAAGCUGUUUGAAUAUUUGUUGAGUAUGUAUUGUGAUGAAUGACAGCAUUCUCCCAGUGUGCUUGCCUUUUUUAUUCAAAAUACUUAGCUAUGUCACAAAAACUAUUUAAAAACUGUAGAGUUUUGGUCUGCCUUAGCAGUAAUAUGACAGACCGGGCUUGAAUAUGAUGUUUUGCAAAGUUCGAGCUGUCUGCAUGCUAAUUGGACUUCAUGGCAUUCCAUUUGCUUAACGUUGCUGAUUAUACCCUAAGCUUUGAGGAAAACAAAAGCCUAGUUAUGGCAUAUAACCUUGGUGCAAAUGUUACAUUGUUACCUUGACUUACAUCUACAGCUAUUUGCUGUUCGAAUUACUGUUACGCCUAAAUUCCUGGUCCUGUAUAGUUACAUGUCAGGACUGCUUAGCAAAAAUUGCUGUUAGGGAAUCGUUUAUGGCACCUAAAGAAUGUUUAUUGGCUUAUGUUCUUGCUUAUGCUUUUGUUUCUGAUUCUGCUGUCAAUUUGGUGUCAUCACCUCACGUUCUUCAAGCUGCCUUUUAUGUUCUAACGGCUAUAACAAUCUAGAACCUUGCAAUGCGUUCAUAUGCACCAUUUAGAGGUUAUAUAUCAGUUUAGCUCUUGUUUUGAAAGUGUUAAACUGCUCGUUAUUGUGCCUCUAAAAGCACUCAAGAAAGCAUUUGGUAUAUUGAUUUGGUAGCUGAGCAAUUUGUUGUGCUUUUUUGGCUGUGUAAAUCUGCUUUAUUAAGGCACACCUAAAUCACAGUUAUGGUUCAAUCACAAUUUCUGUUUAAUUAUGGCUGCAAACGUAACUGUUGUGCAUUUGGCUGUUGACCAAAAGCUUCCAGGAUUCUUGCUCUUUCUGACUUUUUUUUUUUUAAUAUUCUUCAAUCUCAAACAUGCUCACUUGAUCAGCCUAUAUUUUCGUACAUUGAAUGCCUCACAUAUUUUCAUGUUGGAGGAUUAGGGAAUCAACUUUACUACUUAACUUGGCUUUGAGAUCGCCGAUUUGUUUGAUCAACCCUGGAGGUAUCCUAGUGCAACUAUAUGCCCCCCUUGACUUGGCGUGCUUGGAAGGGUAUCAACUAAGUGCAGCUUGUCUAAUUUUUAGAUGCAUUUUCAUAGUUUUGCCCACUUUAUCACAGCUUUGCAAAGAGGUAGGGGAUUCAGCACUUGUUCGUCGAAGUCAGCUCAAGGAGAAAACGAUUUUUAACUUUGCCUCACCAACUACUUCAAGGUGAGUUAUCGACAAGAUCCUACACUUAAUCAAUAAGUCAAGGUUGCCUUUGAUCAUAAUAUAGAUGAAUGGCACUUCACCCUCUGUUGUUGUUUUUUUUUUUGCGUCGCCUCUAUUUUUGAUUUUGCCAUCCAAAAGAAAAAAAAUUGAGUCAAUCGAAAGCGAAGUAUAUGGAACGUAACAGUUUCACCCCGAAACAAGAAAUUGUAUUUGCCCAAUACCUUGUCCAAAUGCAUAGGAACGGAGAAAUAUCCGCUCAUAACAUCGGGAGUCAUGUCGUCCUCGAGAUUACUAGACUGCUUAAUGACACGUCCGGCACUUCAUUUCCCCGUUCAGCUAUUCGGUUGAAAUACUAUACCUUUCAAAACCUGAUCAGUAUGUACAUUUCAUUUAAGAAACGUGGCACUGGUAUGCGUUGGGACUCAACCAAUUAUAAUUUCAUGAUGGACGAUGGCCGCUGGAGAGAUCUACUUCAGGUAACAACACCUACAUAUGUAUGUUCUUUUUUAAAAUAUGUAAUUGUUCCCCCCUUCUCGAAAAGAGCAUGUUGUUCUUAUUUUGAUGCAAGUACAGAGUUCCCAGGGAUGUUUUAUGCUUCAUUAAUUAAAGUACUUCCAUUUUUUGUAGAUAAACAAGGGCUAUGGAAGAUUUUAUGAUAGACCGUGCUUUAUUUUCCAUUUGCUAGAAGAAGUUUUCAUGAAUCAGGGGGCUACUGAAGACUUUAGCACUGCACAUGGAGUAUCACCCCCUAAUUCGGAAGACGAGUUGGAAAUAGAAAAUGCUGCUAGAGCUGGUAGGGGAAAGAAUGUUAUAGACGCCGGUUCAUUGGAUGAAGAAGGGAGUGUGCCGGCAACUAGGAAAGGGAAAGGAAAAGUGAAGAAGGGCAAAGGAAAACGCAAAUUGGCCAACAUGUCGACCGAAUCAUUCUUCUCAGGUUCAUCACCCCAAUUUCAGCAGUACUUCCAGGUUCUAGAUAGCAUUGAGAUCUAUUUGAGUUGCAAAAAGAGCAGUAGUAUCAGUGGUUCGGUCUCUUCACCUUCAAAGAUUGCCCAUCCUCCUUACAAUGCUAAUGACGAGCUAUAAGUUGCCUUGGCAAAGCUAUGCGCUCUAUAUUUGGACAUCAAUGUGCAUCUGAAGGUUGCUGAUACCUUAAAGGACCCUUCCGAGCGGGCCAUCUGGUUCACCUGCAAGACAGAUGAAGCUUGUAUUGUGUUUGUGAGGCACCGGGGGUUCCUACCCCCAGUAUAGACGCUCACGACAUCCAUUUUAUCUUUUUUAGCCUUAUGAGAUGACAUCUUAUUUAUGUUGGUUCAUUUUCCCGUGGAUAUUAUUUAAGGCUUGCUUAGGCAUUUAAGUAGUAUGAGUUUGUGCACUUAAAAAAUGCUCAUGCCACUGUAUCACGGAACAAUUUUAUUAGUUUCUUCCAUUUUUUCAUAGUUGUGAUAUGAAAGAAUGUUGCCAUGGUUGGAUGUUUCAUUUAUCCUUAGCUACCACAUAUCCCCAUUGGAUAACUCUAUAGUUAAACUAGUUAGCUUGACUGUGCAUUUGGAUGGACUUGGACUUGAAUACUUGUUUUGAAUGCAUUUGAGUUCAGUAUAACUAGUUAAUAUGUUUAUUGUCAUCUGUUGUCGAAUAACUCUUAUCCAAUAUUAUAUGGCAUAACUUUAAUAUUGGUCCAAAUUUGUCUUCCAGAUUACAGGUUGUCCGAAUAAUCUUUUUUUCCUGAAAUAUGAAAUUGGCCUUAUGUUCUUGAGUAUUCUUGUUUUUAUAAAUAUGGACAUUUUUUUAUGUAUAAAGUGGUGGCUUCUAGGGAUGCAGUAGGUUUGACAACUUUUUUUCUGUAUUUGGGACAUUAAUGUGCAGGGAAUCGACCGGGAGUUGUAGAGAUAGCUGGUGCCAACUUCAUGGAUAACAAAAUCCACAUUUAGGGCGGUCAACUGGACGAUGAGAGAGACGAUAUCGAUCUGAACCAGAUACUUAUGGCGGUUGUGCCAUUUGGCAUGAUUUUCUUUGACCCAUUCAUUAAUCCUACCCCUAGAAAAAGAAGAGUUCGUGAUAGUGCACACUCUGGCAGGGAUUACAUGCUUGAGCUGAUAAAUGGCCACUGAGAUAGAAUUAUCGAGAACAUGCGCAAGGAUGUUCCCCUUUUCCUGCACCUGUGCGAUAUAUUGGUUGAGCGUGGUUAUUGGCAUGCCUAUCCUUCUCAGAGAGUUGGGGUUCAUGAGUCCAUUGCUUUAAAGCUAAUGUGCUUGACCAUGAUGAGUGACAUUGGAUUCUAGCUGAUUGCUUCUAACAUUCAAUGGAGACAAUUGAUCAACAUGUACAUCGUGUCCUGCGAGCAUUGGUGCGACUUAAUCGUGAUCUCGUUAGGCUAAAAAAUUUCGAUGACACACAACCCAGAAUUAUAAAUAAUCAAUUGUUUUGGCCGUAUUUCAAGGUAAAUAAAUACGAAAUGGUAUACAUCUUUAACUAUUUCGAAAUUCGUUUAGAAGAUCCUAACUGUGUCAAUUUGCUAAUAGAAUUGUGUUGGAGUCUUAGAUGGAACCCAUGUCUCGACUUGGGUGAGAGCAGAGAUACAAGAGAGGUACAGAAAUAGGUACUGUGGGUUAUCUCAAAAUGUUCUAGCGGUUUGCGAUCAUGACAUGCGAUUUGUUUAUAUUCAAGUCGGUUACGAGGGCAGUGCCCACGAUGCUAGAAUUCUCCGAAACACCUUGCUUGAUCUAAAUUCAGGGUUUCCAAUGGCACCUGAAGGUAUGCCAUCCUACUACUAUUUUUCAUAAGUUGAAGGAAACAACUUCACCCUAUGUGGAAUUAAUUGUGUUGCCUGGAUUGCUUCGGCUUAGUUAUGUAGUUAUGUACAUUUAACUUAUAACACUAACUCUAAUCUUAUUUCAUGGUUGCUUAGGAAAAUAUUAUGCGGUGGAUACUGCAUACACUAACAUGCCUAGGUUUAUGGCACCUUUUAGGGAUGCUCGUGGCAUGCAGCAUGAGCGAGCAGUUAAACUUUGUUCAACCGGCGGCAUGCUUCACUUAGAAAUAUUAUUGAACGAACUUUUUGAGUUCUUAAGAAGCGAUUUCUAAUAUUCAAAGGUCCAAUGCAGAACUAUCUAAUAGCAACUCAAAACAACAUUGUGCUUGCAUGCUGUACGCUGCACAACUUCAUCCGAGAUAAUAUGCCCAAUGAUAUGUACUUCAACGAAGAAGCAGCCCUCGAUGCCUUAGCAGAUGCACAGGAUGCAGGGAAUAAAGUUUAGGGAGGUCAAAAUUUCGAUUUGUCGCAGCAGGGCAUAGACAACUGGAACGAAGAUCAGCAGGCAAUAGCGGCUCACAUGUAUCUCAAUUCACACAAGUAGCAAUUCGCCAUUGGACUAGCUUCUAAUUGUUAGCUACUAGGACAUUUAACAUGCUCAUUCUAUCAUCCGUUAUAUUCCUUUGAGAUACUUUAGUUCAUAUGAUAUUUGGUUGUGUAUGGGAGCAAUUAUUUGGACGCUCUCUAGAUUAUUUCCUUUUCACAUUUCAAUUUGACCUUGGUAGCAACUCUUGAAUUAAAGUUCGCUUCAAUUGCUAUGGUCCUAAUCUAUCCAUUUUUAUGAAUGAUCUGACCAUCUAUCUAAAAGUCACAUGUCCUUUUUUGAAUACUAAGCAUGCAAUGGCUAAACAGGGGUAUAUUUAUACAUCCAUGGCAGGUAUGUUCAAGCCAAUGUCAUCUGUAAAUUAAUGCCCAAUACAACGCCAAUUUCCAUGAUUCGAGGGUAGAAAUUAAUUUGCCGGCGAAUGCAUUUUAUGGCAUAUCAAAUUGUAGUUGUUUUUGAAAUAUAGAUCAAUCCAACCGUAGAAGUUUGUUGAAAACAAUGAGUUUUUGAAAAACGACCUAUCCAAAUGACAUCAACAGUAUUUGAAAAAAUGCUACAGUAAAAUUUUUCGAAAACACCCUAAAAAAUAGCCAAUCCGAAUGGAGCCGCAGUUUUACCCAAAAAAAUAAAAAUCCAGCUCCCGCGAUUCAAAAAUGCGGUAGGUCUAAAGCUUUUUUGGAUAAUUUCAAAAACCUCUCCUAAGGUUUAUAACAAUUUCAUUUAACUUUUCUAAUGUUUUAAAAAUUACACCUAUUUCCCCUGCUCAUUUAAAAUGAUAAUACUAAUCUUAAUAUUUUAAUAAAAUUUCCUUGUUGCCAUCUUUAUACAAAUGACGGAUUUUAUAAUUUGUUUCCUAUUCCCUUCUAUUUCAUUUCUCUUAUAUUUCAUUAGAAAUAUAGAAGAACUAUCAAUAUUGUCCCAAACCUCCAUCUUGAUCAAAUUUAAAUUAGUAUUAUUUUUUAUAGCUUUUAAUAUCAUUUAAUUUUUUUUGCAACUCUUUUUUUUAUAUCAAAAUCAAGAAUAAAUCAACAAUAAUUAAAAAGAGUGGAUCAACAUCACUACCAAACCAUGAUAGUUCCAUCAUUUAACUAGUCCAUAAACUUUUCUUCAAAAAAAAAAAGUCCACAAGUUAAAAAAAAAAAAAAUAUCAACUUUUUCUCUAUCUAAAAAAAAAAUCUAUAUCCCCAAUAAAGUACUAGGAUAUUCAUUAAAUUUUUGACCCUAUUUUAAGGUUUGGUUACCAAAAGUGUCAAAUUAAGGGUAAUUUUUUUUUUUUUGUAUAAUUUUUAAAACUUUGAGAUAACUAAGUGAAACAGUCAUAGUCAGAUGCCUCAGGUGAAGUUUCUGAAAUUUUGGCGGGCUUUUUAUGGCGGGCUUAAACCUUAGUCACACUGCACUCCCCUUCUUCAUUUACUUCUGUGGUUCCACCGUCCCGUCGAUCUUCUGUGGUUUUCCGAACAAACGCCACCGCCGCACGUAGCCCUCCUCCCCUGCUCCUCAUCUGCUGACCCUCUCUACCCAGCACGCCAGUCCUCCAUCGGAAAUUACCUCCGCCAUUCUCCUCUUCCUCGGAUCGUCUCAGCCACUCCACCUCCUCUGCCGCCGUCGUUGUCUUCCUCCGUCUCAGCUCGUCAUUUGCCUCCAAUGUCUCUCCCUCAUUCAUGCUGUUAGCUUGUUAUGAUUUUGUUUUUUUUUCUUUCUAUUUUUUAAAAGCAUUUUUGGGUGCCCUUGAUAAAAGUGAAGUGCAGACUAUUCUAGAAAUGUACACUAGAUUAAUAUGUAGAAUAGGAUUUUGAAAUCUGGUGCUCUGAAUCAAACUCUAGAAUUUUGAAAUGUUAAAAUGUGAUGUCGGCUGAAGUGCAAUAGGUUUCUGAAUUGUGAUCAAAAGCUAUUUUUAGGGGAAAAUGUCAAAAAAGAAAACUUUGAAUUGGGGCUAUUUAAUAGAAACAUCUGAUUGUGGGAUCGAAUCCUUGUUUGCGUUUUGCACGAGUUGUGUGGUAAUUGUGCUGCAAUAGUUUGCCAAUCCAAGAAAAAAAUCUAUCUUUGGGAAAAUUGAAGCUUAUUUUAUUAUUUUAUGUUCUUUUAUUGUCAAUCCAAAAAUAGUUAUUGUUUCAUGGGAAAAUAAUUAAUUUUUUUGAAUUUUUUCUGUAACUUUUGAGUUUUUUUUUUUUUUGACUUUUUAGUAGGUGGGAGUUUCAAUGGUUAAGAUUGUCUUGCUGAUUCUAUUAUCCCUCACUUCAGAAACUCUAUUCUUGAUCGCCCAAAAACUUUGAACUUUUGGUUCAAAUUCUCUUUUGCCCUUUCAUUUCUUAGUUCUCACCCUUCCUCUGUUAGAUUUUUUUUUUUUAAAGUUCACAUUCUUGAUCAUAUAUGGUAAUGGGUUUUGGUUGAAUGGAAUCCUAGUAAGCUAAUUAUUAUCACUAAUUUGACCACUAUUACUCUUUACUAAAUUAUUUCUUGUGCUUUUGAUGGAAGGAUUUAGUAUCUAACUGUAAAUCUUUCAAAAGUAAGAAAUAUUGGUGGAAUUAGAGGAAUAUCGUACUUGACCAAUUUUGAAUAUAGUGACAUAUGAUUAAGGUUUAUGAAUUGGAACAUAACUUGAAAAAGUUGUCUUACUUGGGGACUUUGGAGUAAAUGCCCAAAUUCAACAUGAAUUUAUAGAAGGGCACCAAUUUCUCACUAGCAAUAUUGAAAAAGGUUGCCACCAUAUUUCAAUUUCACGAAUUAGGUGUUCACUAAAUGAAUGUUGAUAUAGUAUACUUAGAUCAAAAUGCAGUUUGUAUAAACCAUACAGGGAUGUACUUAGACAAUGUGCAAUUGACAGGUGAUACAAUCAAAAUAAAUUUCUUUUUUCAACAAAAGAAAACAAUUUGCUUUUUUUUUUGGUUGUUGACAAACGAUUUGUUUAACAAUUUAUUUUAAGUGCAUAUUUUAAUCUAUUCAUUAUCUCUUCCAUAUAAAUAAUCUAUAUGCUUCAUGGUGUUAUUUUGUACUUUAACUUCCUUUGGAACAGUAGUUUUGAUUGGAGACAAACUUUAGUACUUGACAAAGGUAGGUGAUUAUUUAAUUUGUAAAACUACUGACAUUAUAAAUUCGUAUUGAGACCAAACAUUGAUGACACCUGUUGAUUGUUGUUUAUCACUUAUUGCUUUAUUACAAUACUUAUACAUUGGAUCAAUAUCAUGACCAUGAUGACUUAUCAAAAGAUCAUAUUGAGACCAUGAUGUGUUUUAUUGCAAAGUUGUGCAUGUGAACUAGCACAAACAUAUGCAAGCCAACAACUUUGGAAUCUGACUAUUGCUACUUCACAGAUUUGGUAGGUAGAUUUUCAAAAAGACAAUACACUGGUGGCCAUUCAAAGUGAUAAUUUUAUAUAACAAUAUCAAAAUAUGGUCUCAUAGCCUUGUGAGAAUUUAAACCCCAGGUACAAAAUUUGGGUUUAACAGAGUUUAAGAGUUUGCUAAGGUUAUCUAAUAGCCUUGUAACUCUCAAAGAACGCAACUUAUUUUUGGGGAUUGGUUGGGUAUUUUGUUUUUGGGCUUUGGAACGAAGUUUAGGUUCUGUUUGGAGAAUUAUAAACCACUUUUACUGGGAAUGAUUUACUCUUGUUCUGUUGUAUGAUUAAUCUGUUUCAACCAGAGAUGGCAUGCCUGAUUAAUAUAUAUUUGUUUGCCUGUGCAGGUUGCAAAUGAAUUAGUAGCUGAAUUUGCAAAUCCUAACAAUAGUCUUUCAUCUGUAGAUCAGGUUUGUCGAUUUGUUCUUUUUUUUUUAUCAUUACUUGCUUUCAGUUUCUGCAAUUUCUAGUACCUAACACAGAUGAUAAACAUGAAAGGUUCUAAAUUUUGUAACCUUCCAUCUAUGAUUGAAAUUUAACAUGGCUUAUGCUUUUUGUUCAUUUGAAGUUGCAUAGAAAUAUCAAACAGCAGCUCAAUAAAGCCAAAAGGAUAAGAAACAAGUAUUGGUUCUGUCCACCGUUAAAGAUUUGAUAAAUGAGCAAUUAUUACCAACUACCUUUGGAUAAAAUGAAGCAAAGCAACUAUCUGUCUUGGAUGAAAUAAACUAUUUGAGUCUACUAAUUUUGGAGUACUCAACUAACCUGCUCAUUUGCUGCUUGGCAGAAAGAAACUACAUAAAUGAUUUUUUAAUAAUAGUUACUUGUGGUAAUUUAUGCUAUUUAAAAUAUUUUUUAUCUUACAUUCACUGAUUAAAUGUCAAUUAUCAGGAUAUGUUAACCAUGUCCUUGCAGCGUCCCAUAGUAGUCCUACUAUAUUGGGGAGGCAAAAUUAUUUUGUCAGGAGAAUCUAUAGCGUAUGAUCCUCCGAUUUGCCAAAAAGUUCUCAUACUGAAGGAACGAAUAGGUUAUGAUGAGUUGGUUAAUAGGAUCUAUAAUGCCAUGAAACUGGACCGAGAUAAAUUUAGAGUCCACUUGACAUUUAGAAACAGAGUAGAAUAUGGCAAUGGCUUUGCCAUAUUAUUUGGUAUGCCACUGAUGAAUGACAAAGGAGUUGAUGUAUUCUACUACCUGAAAAGUUCAACACCAGAAUAUGCAGCUGAGAUUUACAUUGAUGUUGAGGACCAACAGCAUGUUGACCAGACAAACAUACAGUUGGCCCUAAAUACAUAUGCACAAUUGAACUCCUCGAAUAUUGCAUCCCAACUGGUCCAACCCUUUGUAGGUGGUACAGGAGGCAAAUAUGCUGCCCAAUUUGCACCAUCAAUCAGUGCGGCCCCUCUAGCAUCCAAUGUGAAUCGUAAUAGAAGUAGUGGGCGCUACAAUGAGAGCCAUACCAUCCAGAGGCAGUUGUCUUGGUUGACUAAGCUUGCAGAAAAUCAGCACUCGGAACUACCUACAUUCUCUGCUCCCUCCACAGGUGAGCCUAUUGAUCUGAUAAUUGAUGAAGUAGAUUCUGAACCGGAACCAAGUGAUGAUGAUUCUGGUGAUGAUAACCUUGCCAAUGAUGGAUCAGGCUAUGCCGGGGAUGGUCAAGCAAAUGAUCAUAUAGCAUGUGAUGAAGGUUCACCUUGGCCCUCUAAUGUGACACCAUCACUUUGGGAUGAUGCCAGUGUUAGUGCAACAUUGCCGUUUGAUGGGGGAAAUGGAGGUCAUGCAGAGCACUUGAAUGUGUGGAACGAGCAUACCAUGGACCUACGGUUGGGGAUGUUAUUUGACAGCAAGAAGCAUGUUUCUAGAGCUGUGAAAUUAUGGUCAAUCAAGCAAAAUAGAGAAUAUGAAGUUUGUGAGAGCAAACAAAAUACGUGGUUUGUAAAGUGUAAGAACCGAAGCUCCCACCCACCUUGCAAUUGGCAGUUAAGGGCAACUCUGUGGCAUACUCAGAUGAUGUGGAUGAUUGUUUCUUUUGUCAAGAGCCACACUUGUGUUCGAGUCUCCAACAGCAUUGACCAUAUGCAGUUAUCUUCUAAUAUAGUAGUCGAGUAUAUCAUGCAUCACCUUAAGAGUUGUCCUAUUUACCGUAUUAAAGAAAUUCAGGCAGCAAUUAAGGAAAUGUUUCACAUUGAUAUUUCAUAUAGGAAGGCAUGGUAUGCUCGGCGUAGGGCUAUUGAUCUGGUGUACGGUGAUUGGCCAACGUCCGUUUCUCAACUGCCUAAAUACAUGAAGGAAUUAGUUGCAACCAACCCAGGUACUGCUGUAGUGUGGAUGCAUCACCCUCAUAGCCAUGAUGGGAAUUUCAUAUUUGACUAUGUAUUUUGGGCUUUUGCUCCUGCUAUUCAAGCAUUUCCACAUCUAAAGCCGGUUGUAUGUGUUGAUGGGACUUUUAUGAAGGGCCCAUACAAAGCCAAGUUACUUACAGCCGUUGGAAUUGAUGCCAAUAAUCAUCACCUACCUCUUGCUUUUGCAUUGGUCGAUGAAGAAAGUAAUCGAAGCUGGAAAUGGUUUAUGAGACAGCUUAGAGUUCAUGUAUGUCAUGAUAUACAGGGGAUUUGUGUCAUAUCAAAUUGUCACAAAGGCAUCAUAAAUGCCAUGAAGACGCUAGAUGAUUGGAGGGAACCAGUGGCAAUGCAUCGUUUUUGUUUGGAUCAUGUGCUGAGCGAGUUCACCCAAAAAUUCAAAAACCGUAGGUAUUAAUUUUGCAUUGCACUUUUUCUAUUCCAUUAUUUAAAAAUGCAUCUUCAUAUGCUUUUUGAUGUCAUGUUGAAAUUGUCUAGAUUGAAGAAUCUGUGCUGGCUUGCUGGAGAUGCCCGACAAGAAUAUAAGUUUGACAAAUUCAUGAAUCAAAUAUGGGAACUGAAUCCCAAAGCCCAUGAGUGGUUGAUGAAAAAGGCAGUCGAACCCAGCCAGUGGGCACUGUCCAAAGAUGGCGGAUACCGAUGGGGCAUCACAUCAACAAACAUGGCAGAAUACUUCAACAAUGCCUUUAGGGAUGCUCGUUAUUUGCCAAUAAAGGCAUGUGUUGAGUUUACAUUCAAUCAGACCAUGGAACUCUUUUUGGAGAGUCGAAAAUUGCUAAGUGAUUGCCGAUAUCCUCUGCCAAAGUAUUCUUGGGACAAGUAUGUUGCCAAUCAUCAUAAAGCAAGAGGGCAUGAAGUGCAGAUUUUCCACGAGGCCAAUGGCUUUUACAGGGUUGUCACAGCUCGUCGGCCAGAUAAAAGAGGAGGAAAUCCACACUACGUCAAUUUUCGACUGGGCACAUGCAGUUGUCAGAAGUGGAAAGAAUUACGAUUCCCUUGUUCUCAUGUGAUAGCUACGUACUAUAGUUUAGGUAUGAAUCCAACAAAGCUGAUUGGAGAAGUGCACACAUUGGAUGCAUAUGUGCAGACCUAUUCGGGUAAAUUUCAACCUUUAAGGCAUCCUAGAUAUUGGGCAGAUGUAGAUUGCAAUUUUACCAUACUGUCCACUAGAUUGGCAAAGAAGUGACUAACUAGAGUUAAAACUGCAAGGAUACACAAAAAAAAUGGACAGCCUUUAUCCAAGAUGUGCCAAGGCGAUGCAGUCAUUGUUUUGCUGUUGGUCACAAUGUUUCGAACUAUCCAUUUUGACUCAUAGGGAUUAUUAAAGAGUGCCAGACAUGAGUCUUUUUAACUCGAAGUUUAUACAUGGUCAUUUCUGUUUAUAUGUAGUUGGCUGACUUUCUUUCAGUUGUCCACGGAUCAUGUAUUUUGCUUUCUAAUUCAGAACUUUCAUCAGUCGAUGUUGCUCAUACCUUCGGGCUAAGUUAUUAUGUGUUUACAUAUGGCCAUUCCACACUAAUAUUCAAUGUUUGCUGUCAUGAUGCCAUUUUUAAUUGUAUGAUGUUGAAUGUUUUGUUGGACAGGUUUGUAUCUUUGAGGUAUUGAUUUAAAACCAAACGAAACUCUGCCUUUUUUUUGAGUGGAAAUUAAGACACAAUCAAUUUUAUAUUUUGCGUGGCAUGAUUGUGGUACUUUACUGUAUAUCAAUGUUGUGGCAUUCUGUUGUAUAUGCAGCAAUAUGUGCAUCAUAUCCACUGUUAUCAUAUAAAUUGGGCAAAUUUCACUUUACCUCCUUGUGGUUUAAUAUUUUUUUACAUAAACCCCCUAUGAUUUUAAAAGUUAUACAUAAUCCUACCAUGGUAUGGAUUAAAGUAUCAAAUUGACGAAAAUGAUCAUUCGUAACGGAAUCACCUAAAAUGUCAAAAAUAUCUUUAUAUGAAGUUGAAAAUUAUUUAUUAACUAAGGGGGGUUAUGUGUAUAUUUUAAAAAUUAUAAGGAAGUUAUAUGGUAAAAUACAAAAAUCAUAUGGUGUUAGUAUGUUAUGUAUUUAUAAGGGUAAUUUCGAUAUUUUUAAAAGUUUCGUUACGAAUAAUUAUUUCCAUCACUUUAAUAUUUUAAUUCAAAUCAUGAGGGGGUUAUGUAUAGCUUUUAAAACUAUAGAGGGGUUAUGUAAAAAAACACUAAAUCAUAGGGGGUAAAAGUGGAAUUUGCCCUAUAAAAUUAGCUUUGUUAAUUUUCCAUAUGCCAGCAGGCCAUUGUAUUUUCAGAUUUUGUUUGCUUUUUAAGGUAGUUUGUCUAUCCAAAUGACUGACAUAGACAACCAUCCAAGUUUAACAUAGUUAUUUUCGCCUUACAACAAUGCUCAAGUUAAAUACAAAAACUAUAAGUGCUGGCCUCUUCAGAACUUUGUUUUAUGUCAAGUCGGUUUAUGUUGCUUCUAUUUUCAUAUUUUGACAGCGAUUUUUCCCCUUACUAUGAGAGAUGGAAGUUCAUCUUUCUUAAAAUACUUGCAGUUAUAUGAAAAAUGAGAAAAUUUUUAAUUAGGGAAUUGGCUAAUCAUAAAUCUGCCCAUUUUACUUAUUAACAAGAAGAAAAAGAAAGAUCUGCAUGAUAUAUAUACAUUCCCUAAAACAACAAAAGGGAAAAAAAAAACCAUCUUUAUAAGCCCUUAAUAUGCAUUUUUCUCCCAAAAAUUAAAAUAGGGUUAGUAAAUUUUGUUUAAUAACCAAAAUUGGUAUUAGUGAUCAAUAGAAGAGAAGUGAUUUAGUUGACUAUUAAAGAAAACAGGAAGCCUCUCUAGUUUGCUUGAAUGGCAAGGCAAUUUUGGUGAACCAAAACAAGUUUUAAUGGAGAAAAUAAGAGAAAAACGAAAGAAAGUUAUAUCUAAACUUUUUACUAUAUUUUAUGAUGAGUGUAGCAUACUUUCUCAUUUAGUCAUGCUAUAUAAUAUAUCCUUUUGAAAAGUUCUAGUGUUUUAUCUCAGCAGAUUACAAUGCAAAUUUUUUGUCCAUGAAGAAGCAAACUUCUAUAUAAAGUGGGCAUGUUAAUCAAGUUUAGCGUGUCAAAGUAGGAGUAAAAAUGGGUCGAUUAAUUCUCAUCUGGGCUGCCUUAAUGGGGUUGUUUCUCCUCUUGUCAGUCUCUAGAUCAGAAACAGAAGAAGUAAGGCAAGCCUUAGUCAGAUUCAUGAUCCAAAUUUCUCCUGGAAACAUUAACAGGAGUGCAAACUGGGGCUGGAAUUUAACCUCAGACCCCUGCAUUUGGCAAGGAGUUGUUUGCAACGCAAUAUCGAAGAGUGUCAGAAUUAUACAUCUAGACAAGCUCAAUCUCAUUGGAGUUCUUGAUGCUAAUUCUCUCUGUGUAGCAAAAUCACUAACUCACUUGAGCCUGAAUCACAACCAAAUCGUCGGAAAUUUACCUGAAGGGAUAUCAAACUGUAGCCAACUAAGGCGCCUAUUCAUAAGAGGAAACAAUUUCUCAGGUAUCCUUCCAGGUUCCCUUUCCAAAUUAAGCAAUUUAAUAAUGCUUGAUAUCUCAAGCAAUGGUUUCUCUGGGGAGCUACCUGAUUUGCCGCGAAUCUCAGGCCUAGUUGGCUUUCUUGCUGAUAACAAUGAUCUAAGUGGAAGAAUUCCUGAGUUUAACUACUUGAAUCUUCGAGCAUUCAAUGUCUCGUACAACAAUUUUAGUGGUCCAAUUCCUGAUGUCCAUGGCCAUUUCAAUGCAAGCAGCUUUUCAGGUAAUCCUGGAUUAUGUGGAAAGCCACUGCAAACGCCUUGCCCAAGCCCUCCUCCAUCUUGAUGGGGAACACCUGAUUUGAAGUCUUUACCAUGCAUUUUUGGCGAAUUAGCUAGUUCUUGAAGAAAAUUGUUAACUUUUCUCUUGGACUAAUGCUUCUGGCAUGCAGCACGAUUAAAGGUCACUAUGGUUAUUCUUGAUUUGAUCUUUUUAGCCAUUAAUUCAUACAACAAUAUUGAAACCUUCUAUACAAAGCUGCUUUGAGUUUUCAAAUAUAUGAUUGUUACAUCCUUCAAGUAUGAUAAACAAGCAUGUGGAUGGACAAAAUCCCGUUACCAAAAUUUGUCCUCAAGUCAUACAAUUUUAAGAUUAUUAUUUAAACAUGAAACAUCAUGAAUUAAGUUUUGUUCUUUGGUCUUAAUUGAGAAAGCACAUCCAAAUGUUACUCUUUAUCAUUAUUAUAAGGUGGCACUAUGAUUUUCAUAAAUCUUGCACCUUUGCCCGGUUUUCUAUUGAAUGGAGCGCCUGAUUUCAGCUAUAUCAUUAAUGAUGUAUCAGCAGCCUUUUGGGGUUCGAUACUCCCUUGUUUUCAGUCUUUCAUAUGAGUUGUCAAAAAAUACAUACAAUGAUGAUCAGAUUCUUUCACCCAAUUUCAAAUGAGUAAUUACCAAAAUAAAAGAAGUAGAUGAACUAUUGCAACAUUAUAUAGACUAAUUUUCCCGCUCAAGUAGGCUUGAAUUUAUAAGCACUUCCUAUUUAGACCUUGGUACUAUCCCUAUAACUUUUGUUGCUUGGUGAAUUCAAUGGCGGAGCCAGAAAAAAAAAAUUCUCAGUGGGGAGCAAAAGCAACUUCAAAAUUUUUUACCUACUCUUUUUAUAGUUUUUUAAGUUAAAAAAAAUAAAAUAAAAUUUACCAACAAGUAUAAAUGAUGCAUAUAUUCCAUGAAAAACAUAAAAAAAAACUCAAAAUUAUUAAUGUAAUAAUAAUUUUAUUUCAAAAAGCAAGCUAAACUGUUUACAAUUGCUCACGACGAGUUUUCAUAUUUUGAUAACGGUUUACAACCUUCUCAUUCUGAAUUUCAAGAAGUAUAUUUUUCUCAAUGUAAGUAAUUAAAUAAUCAUUCAUCCAAGUAUCUCCCAUUCUAUUUCGUAACCGAUUCUUCACUACAUUUAUAGCUGAAAAAGCGCUCUUUACGAUAGCUGUAACAGCAAGCAAAAUCAAAGACAACUUUAGGAACAUAUAAACUAAUGGAUAUACAAAACUUCAAGGGACAUAUUUGAAAUUAUAUCAAAACUUUAUGGGUACUAUAGAGAUUUAAACAAGGCAGUGGAUUCCCGUGCCCCCACGUUAGAUCCGCCCCUGAUGAUCCUUUUGUCAUUGAUUGAAUAAAAUUAACUUGCUUACCUAAGAAAAGUCAGAUAGGAUUGUUUUCAUUCCAUGCAAUAGGAAAUGCUAUUAACUAGAAUGGAUUCGUGAUAAGUUUGUUACAUUUUGGGGGUGUUACUUUUCUUGUAUUUCCAUCUCAGAAGCCUUUGUGUUAUUUUUGUUUGUUAAACUAAAGAUUCUUACAAUUGUGGGAUCACUAUAGUUUCAUCCGUUCCCAUUGGUACCUAUCACUGUUGGAAAUGACCAUAUUGGGAAUUUGCUCAAACCAGAAAAUAUUAACAUGUGCAACUAAAACAUGCAAUAAUGCUACAAAGACCAUAUGGUCUUGAGUGUAAGAUUUGGCUCUGCUGAAGAGUCAAACUAGUUAGAUAAUGAAAUUUAAGUUUGAAUACGAAUUAAGUAUGCUAAGAUUUAUCCAAUCAUAUGUCAGGUACUCGAAAACUCCGCUUUGAUGAAGAACAAAAACACCUGGUUUGAAAGAUGAAAUGUACCACAAAGAUCAAACCAUUCAGAGGAAUGCAUAGUGUUACACAAUCUUUCCCUUUGUGGGUACUUUUGAUUUCUUCUUGCUGUUUUAUAUCUGACUUUUCUUAGGGGAGGGGUGAGAUUUACAACUACUUUGGGAGUUGAGAAUAGAAAAGAAAAGAAAAGAAGAGAAAGCUCUGAAGUUAUGAAAAAAAAAAGAGAGAAAAGAAGAUAUUUAGUUUUGAUGUUAUUUGGGAGUUUAGGAAAAAGAUGAAAUGAUAUUGCAUACAUAAUGUCAAUAAAAUUUUGUUUAAUAGACAGUUAUGUAUAAAAGUGGUAUUUUAUAAAAAUUGCUCCAAGUUUUUUGUUGUUUAAGUAUAGCUGCCAGAGUGAUCCAUCCAAAUCUUUCCAUUUCCUUUUUUUUUUUUUCAAUUUGCUCCACAACUCCCCAACAUCAAAAAAGAAUUAUCUUCUCUCACUUGGUUUUCUUUUCCCAUCAAAUCUAAGCAUUAAGAAGCAGGAAGGUGAUAAGGAGAACUUUUUCUUUCCUUUGAAGGAAGGUGAUAAGGUGAUUAGAGUACAAAAUUUUUAAUUCUUGGAAUCUCAACCCUAACUACUACCCUAACUACUAGAACAAACUCUCCUCGGCUUAACUUUCUUUGUUUCCACAAAAUACCAAAAGGGAUUGGAUCUGGUAAAGAGAUUCUCAAGCCAGCUGGUCUCCGUGUGGAUCUGGGCCGAACUUAUUGGGUCUGGGAACAUGCUUUAAAGGAUCUUUGAAGAUCUAAACAUGAACCACGUGCCCAGAUUCCUCCAGAUAGUGUUCAUCUUGACUUACGGUGCACUUUAAUUUGGUAGGCUCAGACGGCCCAGAUCUGCUUUUCGGCUGUUGGUGUCUGACGUAGGCCAACCCUUGUGCCCAUUAACACUAAUGAAAAAUCAUUAACCCUAAUCAUGACUAGAGUAAGGAACUGAAUCUGAAUUUUGAAGUCUGGAUUCUGAAAUCUGAAUACUGAAACAAUUAAUUUGCUGAAUUUUAAGCACUAAAAAAAAUAUAUGAUAAAGAUUUAUAACUGAAUGCUUAAUAAGUUAAAUUUGACAAAUUUGCCCUUAUAUCUUUUCAUCUAAAAAAAAAAUAGAACCUAUGAUUUAACUACCUAAAAAUGUUAUGUAUGAAAAAAUGACAAUAUUUAUUUUUAAAUCAAAUUAAUAUAAAAGAUGAAAUAUAUUAUAUGAGGAGUAUGGAGAAGAUGUGAAAAUCAUUCAAAUGGGAGAAAAAAGAAAUAGAGAAUCAUUACAUAGAGAAUAUUAGAUUGUUUAAUUUAGAUAAGAAUUUUGAACAUAAUUAACAAACAUGGGUAGAUUUGGUAGAUAAGAUAAGGUAAUUGAAAUAAUUCUAUUGAUUUUUAUCAAAAUUAAGCAUUCAAUUAAGAUUUUUGUGCUGAAAAAAAUACACACAAGUUCAGCACUACUUAACAAAUUCAUCAAAUAAUUUUUUAUUUAUCAAACACUCAAAACAUCUGAAUGUCUGAAAAAAUUUAGAUUCAGCACUUUUUUAUGUUAUCAAACAGACUCUUAGUAUUUCUUGUCUUGUAAUCUGAAAGGUUAAAUGCUGUUUUUUGAAAAAAAAAAAAAAAAAAAAUUUACCCUUCCACCCACUCUCACAUUCUUCCUACUCCCAACUAUAAUUUGAUAACGAAUAGAUCUCUAAAAGUCGUACUCUGAUCACAGGAUUAAAUGCUGCUUGAGCAGAAUUAUCAUACAAGAAUACUCAUUAUGAAAGGCAUGAUUCUGUCUCAAUUUAGGGGACAAAAAGAAAAAGUAUGAGGAUCCUCACAUUCUCUCCUUAAUGAGAGAUUAUUCUUAAAACGCACGUGAAUUGACCUUUGUUGAUCAUUUUAAUUGAUCUUAAGCAACUGAUUAAUGAGCACUUAGCAAUUAAUUAUGAAUCCUUGCACUUGAAGAUGCAAUAAGUGUCAUCUUGAAGGUAUGAAACAUACAAUUACUCCUUAGCCGUUGGGAGGAGUGGUGCUUGAACAUAUGCAAAAUUUAACGCCUUCCAUGAGAUGGUCAUUCAAGCUUUCAAAGGCGUGGUAUUGGCAUGGGGUUUCGUGUAAUUAGUGUCUAAGGCUCCGUUUGAUAACACUGAAUCUAAUAUUUGAAUUCUGAAAUCUGAAUUCUGAAUACUGAAAUAAUUAAUUUGCUGAAUUUUAAGCACUGAAAAGAGAUAUAUGAAUGUCUGAAUCUUAAUGCUGAAUCUAUUUAUACUGUUUGAUAAAUAUUCAUAACUUAAUGCUUAAUAAGCUAAAUUGUACAAUUUUGUCCUUCUAUCUUUUAAUCCAAAAAGGAAAUAGAACCUAUGAUUUAAUUAACUUAAAAUUGUUAGGUAUGAAAAUGACAAUGAUUGUGAAGAGCAAUGCAUACAAUGACAAUGUUUCUUUGUGUGGGAAAAGGGUAUGGUUUCAUUGUUUUGAGAAUGGGAAAACGACCUUUUAAUACUCCAAAAGCACGUUCAAUUACAUUUCUCCAUCUUGCAUGUGCUUGGUUAAAGCGUUCUUCUUUCGAUUUUGGACGAGAAGCAUUUCAAAAAUCAGACAACCAAUAUCUAAUAUUUCGAUAUGGUGUCAUAAAGCCACGUGUGUGUGGAUAAGCUACAUCUCAUAAAUAAUAUUUAUCUGCACAAAAAAAUAUAUAUCAAAAUAUAAAUAUUUGUGGAUGAAAAUUACUUCAAAAAAAUACUAUUGUUAAAAAAAUUUUUGAAUAGAGAAUAUUAGGUUGUUUUGUUUAAUUAGAUAAGGAUUUUGAAUAGAAAAUAUUAGGUUGUUAAUCAGAUAAGGAUUUUGAAUGUAAUUGACAAACAGGGAUAUAUUUGGUAGAUAAGAUAAAAUAGUUGAAGUAAAUCUCUUGAUUCUUAUCAAAUUAAGCAUUCAGCUACGAUUCUUGUGCUGAAAAAAAUACAUACAAAUUCAGCACUACUUAAUAAGUUCAACAGGUGAAUUUUUAUUUAUCAAACACUCACAACAUCUGAAUGUCUGAAUAAAUUCAGUUUCAGCACUUUUUUAUAUUAUCAAACAGGCACUAAAAAGACAAAUAGAAGGCGUGAUGUCUAGUAGGGUCAUGAGUACUGCAAUGCUUUCCAUACGAAUUACUUACCCCCUCUGUGGAGUUCCUGUCUGGCAUUUUUCUAGACCAUGAAAAAACUAAAACUAUAACAUCUAAUUAUUGUAGUUUCUUAUUUCUUUUUUUUUUUAAAAACGUACUCCUAAGAUAUUUUCUUGGAUUUCUUUUCAAAAAGAAAAUUUCUAGGAUUUUUAGCAACUAUAUAACUCAAUUACAUUGACUAGAAUUUUCUUUAGAAAUAAUUAAAAUGCUGAUUCAAUUAGGUACGGUUUUGGAUGAAUUCUUUCAUUUCGCAAUUUGUUAGUGUUUUGGCACACCAUAUUCAUAGGAGUUUUGGAUGGAAUCUUGGCCUUCUUACCGAAACAAGAAUCAGUAAAGAAACAAUUCUUUCUCGAAAUAUCCAAACAAGAUAGUGUUAAGAAUUCUUCAAAGAAAAGUAGCCAAGAAAAUCUUUCACACUACUAACUCGUGUACUUUGUCAUUUUUUAUGUACAUAUAUGCAAGAAAGAUGAUUCUAACCAUAUUUAUAUACAUGUUUUGUGCUUCCUAGUUGGAAGAUUAUGGCUCAUCUUAUAAACAAAUGCAUAUUUCUUUUUGGCCAUUCUUAUUACCAACUAGAUCACAAUUUUGCUAAAUUAGGCUAGGUAUAAUUAAGUAGAAAAUUUUUUGAGGGUUUAAUUUGUUAGCAAAUUUAACAAACUGCAAAUUCCCCCUUUUGAAGCAAUGAAGACAAUUGCUUUCAGAUAUAUGCUUAGACAAGAGUUCAUCCGACACAUCAAAUCGAGUGGAAAUUACUCUAUUUUUAAAAUUAAAUACCGGAUCAUUGGCAAAUUCUGUGGUAAAUAGACCAUGACUUUGAGAUUUAUCCUUCUCAAUCUUGAUAAUGAAAUCUCAUCCUAUAUAAUAUAAUUAUGCCUUGAAAUGAUUCCAAAGAAAACCCUAGAAAGGCACAUUAUUUUUUUCUUUGUUAUCAAGCAAAGCAAGAAGCCAUGCAUGUGUUAGAAGAACAAACAAAUAGAGUGCAAGACAACCAAUAUGUAGUUUAUUAUCCUAAAUCACAUAUUGCAAUCUCAGUUUCGUUGAAUCUGUCAAACUCCAAUCUUAAUUAUUUGCUUGGCGUAGAUCUCAAUGCAUUUCGUCUCUGAUGUCAUCUUCUCUUUCUACCUUUCACUCCCACCUUUACCCAAAUUUUUGGAAUGUUUUGAGGCCAUUUUCAAGCUAAGGUGGGGUUUUAGGGCUUGAACCUUCUUGGUUAUGCAUAUACUAUAAUGCACAAAUCAGUGGAAUUAAAUUUGCAACUUGUUAACUUGAAGGGCUUCUACUUUGCUGCCUUUUAUUUUUUUUUUCUUUUGUUUUUUUUUUUUGUUUUUGGUUAAUUCAAUAGAUUAGAUUAAAGACCACACUGUCCAAACAUGUUAAUCUAAGUCAACGGUUUGAGCUGUAACCUUAACUGGUUGCGCACGGGCUUCCUGAUUUUGCAUAAUAUAAUUAUAAUCAGAUUUCAAAUACGAGUCAAAUACAUGCAAAUUGUGUGUCAUUAAUUGGAGACCUACGGUCAUACAAAUUGCUUUGUAGUCAUGAAUUGUAGACCUACGGUCAUACAAAUUGCUUUGUUUCAAUGUCAAGAUGCCUAUAGGCAUCAAUAUAAACUACUUCCAAGUCCGCAUUACACAAAAACUAGAUGAAACAAGGAUCCCUUGUGUGUCUGUCCGUCUACAUAUAUAUAUAUAUAUAUAUAUAUAUAUAUAUAUAUAUAUAUAUAUAUAUAUAUAUAUAUAUAUAUAUGUAUGUAACAAAACUAAUAUUUUCAAUACGACAAACGUUAGUAGGUGACAGCAAUAUCAUAACAAACUUGAGAGGUAAUGAAAUUUUCCUUUGAUCGAUACGGUGUACGAGGAAAACAAGCAAAACCAGCAUUUUAUUUGGAUAGAAACAAAUGGGAAUAAAAGAAAGGUUGUAAGAGAGAACUAAAACUACUUUCUCCAUUGUGGUAAUUUUAGUUGGACUGGAAAGAAGAGAAAAGAAAAGAAAUUAGAAACUUUGUAAUGCCAUCAACAGAUAAGCUAGUUUUUUUUUUUUUUUGGGGGAGGGGGGGGAGAAAAUGAUUCUUAUUCAAUGGUAGUUCUUAUAAAUUCUUCUCUUUGUCCGUCAAACAAGUGUAAUAAUGGUAUAUUACGCUUGUGGAAGUGUAACAAAUGAAUGCUCAUAACCUUUUCUUGCUAUUCUUUUCCCAAAAAUCCCAAUAGUCAAAUACUUUUUCAUCUUUUUUUCUUCGUCUCUUUUCUCUCGUAACUUAAGUUAAUCUUCCUUUUCUUUUGAAUUUUUUUGCUUAGCUAGCUCUACUAUACUCAGAAAGUAGGCAUUAAAAGAAAAAAAAAAGAGAAAUGUAUGAUUUUCAACAUUGCACCACUACAUAUAUUUUCGCCUUUCAAGUUUCAACCAAAUGGAAUUGUCAUUCUCAUUCUAGACCUUAGAAGUUAGAACCCUCUAAACCAAACCACCGCCCAUUUUCAUCUACCAAAAGAUUGGUUUCUUGACUUUGAUUCUCACUAAACAGCUAAACAAUCGUAUUCAUUAAUUCAAAGUUGCAUAAUUCGAGGAGCACUUUUCCCUUUAAUGGUUUUUUAAGCUUCUAGAGCACAUCACCAACCAACAGACCAGGAGACAUGCUAUCCCAAAUAAUAACAGUUGACCUUUAUGAAGGUAGCAGAUUCAAUGUACGCUUAAACCAAAUUAUGGAGUAAGUACUUAAACAAUAUCCAACUUCCGAGGACAAGCUUUAAAAGAAAUUGAAUAUCACAUGUUACUCCAUAAUUAAGGUUGGCUGAUUAAUAUAGAUUUUUAGAAGCCAUUGGCAGUUGAGAUGAAAAGAGAUUUAUUAGUUUUAAUCAAUGAAUCACUCCCAAUUUCACACACAAACAAAAAAAAAAAAAAAAAAUUUUGUUUGUUAGAACCCGAGUCAUACACAAGGCCUGCAGACUUGAAUAGCUAAUUUGGAAAUGUACAAAUAAAAUCAGACUUUAACGUUUCUUUGCUUCCAUUUUCUGGUGAUUCGUUUUGGACUUCUUUUCUAUUUUUGUGGGGGCUUUUAGUUGUUUGUUUUCAAGAUGGAAUCUAAGAAUUUUAUAUGAUCAUAGAAAAAUUUACAAGAAGUAGACAACCAGUUAGGACAUAUUUUAUGCACAACUCAACUUUUUGUCUGUUAUCCUUUCAAGAAUUUUCAAUAUCCUUCCCCAAAUUAGAAUCUAAACCUUGAACGAAUAUUCUCAUUAACUUAUGUUUUUGUUGAUAAUUCAUUUAAUUAAUAACCUAUAGAGCUGUUCUAAUACGAUCACACAUAAUCUUGAUACGAGAUAAAUAAUUAUUAGGUGUUGAUUUGAGCCUGGACUUACUCAUAAACUGUUUGUGCAAGUCUAGAAUAUCAAACUACAUAAACCAAAAGGUAUUUACUUUGUUAGGAAAUUAUUAAAGUAAUUCUUAAUGAUGACAACUAUAUAUUUGUAGUAUUUCACAUCCAAAUACUUUCAGCCAACAUGGUAAAUAUUGAAUGUCCAUCCAAAUUAAAUGAUGCGAAUUAUAAAUGUUAGAACUGCAAUAACCAUAUGGCCAUGAACAAAUGGAAGGGAAACAUAAGUUGGAGUAGGAAAGCAAUUAUUUGUUGUAAGAUAUUAGCAAAACAGAAGAUGAUGAUGUACAAAUUUGACUCAAAGAUUGGACCAAGAAUUGCCUUCUGUUGUACAAAAUAAGUUAACCUUAGAUUCCUUUUCUGAAUAUAUGGAUAACAAAUAAUGAAGCUCGUUGAUUUGUACUAGUAGUUGAAAUUGACUUCAAACUGUAGAAGGAACAAAGGGAAUAGUAACAUGUCAAAAAAAAAAAAAGUAAAUCUAAUACUACAUUCAACUAGUAAAUGAAAGGGUUUAUGCAUGAACAAUACCAGUGGCCUAUAUUUAUAAAUUAUAUCUCAUAAUAUGACUAUUAAGGGUAAAUUUACCUAUUUAUUACAUGAAAAGUUAAUCUGUAUUUAAGAGUUGGAAGAACAUCUACAGUCAAGGCAACCAGCUUUUUAACAAGCCCGGAUGAGACAAGAAGUUGGCAUACAAAAAUGACAUGCACAUGCAGGAAGUAGUUAAAACACACAAAUCUCAUUCUGUGAUUGGACACCACAUGCAUUUCUAUGAGGAAAUAAAGACAAUGAAAGUAGAAAUAAUUCUGAGACAGUCCUUGAACUACUACAAACAUUUUUGCAAUAUUCUUUUUUCUUUAUCAAGAAUUGCACUUGAAAUUCUGAAAAAGCAAGCAAAACUUCACAACUUGUAAUCUAGAGAAAAGCACUUGCAAGGGCCUAUUCACAUUGCCUCUCUGUGCUCACACUUUGAAACAACACAAUAUAGCUUCAGCUCAAUCUCUAAAACAUCAUAGAUAGACCCCUCUUGGUAUUUGGGGGUUUUUCUAAAAAAAAAAAUCUCUUCAGAAGCCAAGCUACAGGCACUCCUUUUUUUUUUUUUGUUUAUUUUUGACAGUGAAAUUGAUAACUUCAGUAGAUCUCAAUGCAUAGGAAUUGAUCCACCAGCUGCCAAAACUUGCUUCUCCAGCUAAAAAAAAUAUAUAUGAUAAUUGUAAACAUGAAAUUAUUAAUUCUGAAAAAAAAAAGGGGUUUCACAUGGUUACCUUGAACAUUGUUUCAAGCUUGUUCUUCACAAGGGAGUACUCAUGCUUUACUAGUUGCAGGCAUCUUAAGCACCUAUAAAUCAAUAUAUUUUAUGUUCCACUGUUCAUUGAUCAUUGAGAGUAAACGUUGGUAAACAUUAAGUGGGCAGGUGUAAGAAUGGUCGCUGUUAAAAUUCAAAAACAAGAAUUUUCUCUUAAAGUUUUUCUGUGGGCUGCUAAGAGUAAGGACAAGCAAUACUAAUCUAAAAAACUAACCCUUCAGUGUUCUGUUCUUCACAAUAGUUACGGAAGGCAAUGCAUACUUUUUGAACCCUUUGCGCACCAAUGCUGCAGAAAAACAAAAGUUUAUUUUCUUCAGUUAAAUGAUGACUAGGAAGGCAAGAGAUCAAGAAAGAAAUUGUUGAAGAGAUCAAAUUAUCUGAUGUCCUUUGGCCUUCUACAAAAUAACCAAAUUUAUUCCUUAAUUUCUCAAAAAUAAAGAGUCAGAUGAGUAUAAUGUCAUUUCAGAUAAUUCAGCAUUAGUGGUAGAGAAAACCUUGAAAAGUACCUCAAAUUCAUCAUUUGAGGACUGAAUUUUUCUAGAUGUAUUUAGUGGCCUACAGUUCUUUUGUCACAUAUGGUUCUGAUGUAUAGAGUUUGGUUUGAACAGGUACAAUUACUGUACAGACACAGAUGCAGAAGAACUAACUGAAGAUGCAUCAGUACUCCUCUCCAUUUCACGCCGAAGGUGUAGAUCAAAAAAUCACAACCCUUUGUCUUGAACUUCUAAAGGAUCAGAGAAAUUAAAGAAGGAAAUCCAUAAAUACAUGAGAACUAGCAAAUGUUACCUGGAGCUGCUACCCUUCAACUGAUGAACAUGUGCGUCAACCUUCUUGAAGUCCACAAUUUGUUGAUUCCUACACAAAGAAACAUCAGAUUUAGCAAACGUCUGCUAGAAAAUAGAUCCUCAUCGAAUAUGUUAACAAGUGGAGGAGCAAAACCAUUGAAAAAUGCCCGGAUAAUGUAGUGCUUACAGAGUUUUGGAGAGUUCAUUGAGAAGCCUCUCAGAAUCUUCAAAGAAAAGAUACACAACUUCAACCACAAAAUCUGGAUUGCUUUCAUCUUGCAGUUGCUGAAGCUGUUUGAACUGAUCGUCAAGAAAUCCCUUUUCAAAAACAAAACAGAAAUCAUAAUCAGAAUAACCUGAUCCAAUCAAAGAAGGAAGGCAUAAUCAUGAAAUGAUCCAAAUGAUUAAAAUGCCUGCUUACCUCUUUGUAGAGGGAGGUUGAGUAGUCUACUAACUGCUUUUGCAACAGAAUUACACCAUCCAUUCUCGUUCUGGCUUUGCAACUGAAGCUCACAGGUACUGUGAAGUAGUGGUUGGAAGCUUAUUGAAUGAAGACUAUAUAUAUAAGCUGUAUAAGUUAAUAUGAACUUGUCCUCUUGGAGCUCUUUAUUUUUUUUCUCGGAAAAGCUCAAGACACUGAGAGGGCAGGGCAAGAUUUGAUGAUGAAUUCAAUGAACUGAGGGGACUGAGUACAUUGAUGAUUGAUCCAGUAUUGUCUCUGUGUCUGUAGGAUUGUCUCCACCCCUUCUUUUUCACUCUCUCCCGGAUUUGUUUUCUGUUCUUUUCCUUCCUUCCUCUCUGUCUCACCUCAUAAUGUUUCGGUAGCAACAAAGAAGUUCGAAAUAUUAAAAGCUGUUUUGCAAGAUCCAGAAUAUGAUGCCAUCAUGCCACCACUUCUUUGUUUAACAUUUUCUUUUAACCAUUUCCUUUUAGCAAAUUGAAGCCAUGAACCCAUCAUUGGAUACAUAAUAAUUAAUUUUAUAUUAAAUUUGAAAUCAAAUUUUAUAUAUAUACGAUUGUGACAAUAUAUAUAAGAUUAGCUCUCAAUUAAAAUGCAAACUAUCUGUCAUUUUUCUCUCACAUUACUUUUUUUUUAAGAAUUUUUUCUCUUAAUUUUAGUUCCCAACGUCUUAAUUUGUCUGUACAUGGAGAUAUGGGCAUGAAUUGCCAAGCGUGCUAAACUAUGUCACAUCAUAUCUCCAAGAUUUUCUUCGGCAGAUUCUGUCUUUACGGCAAAAUUCAACAACUAAAAUGCUGUGAAAGUGCAUUGUUGUCUUUUCAAUACUCGAACAUAUAAUGUGGUGAGUAAGAAAUGUAAAUCAAGUGUUUUCUGCAACCUAAUUGGUUGAAUUUUUUAUUUGACCCUUAAUACAUCUAAAUCAAGUUGGAGAUUUUUUUUUUUUUUUUUUUUUUUACAUUAAAAUGCCAUUUGCUAAGAAUGCACAUAUAUUUUAGGGAUAAUAUCAGAAACCUCCCCUGAGGUUUCUUGAAAUAUCACUUAGCUCCCCUCACAUUUUGGAAAUCUCUCUUACCACCUCUCAAGUGAUAAUGGGUCAGAAGUCAACAAGAAAAUUCAUCAGCUGCCAAUAAUACCCUUUGAUCUGCUGUUACCUUAUUCAGCUAAUAAAAGGAAAAAAAUGACAAAAAAAGCAAGCAUGCAACUGUAUAAAGCCCGGGAAACAAUUGCCGCCUAGAAGUUGAGUUUCGUACGUAUUGCAUGGCGCCAUUUUGCUCUGAUAAGACGUCUAAAUGCCCGGGAACUGAAGAGGAAUGAAAUACUACUUAUAACUGUGAUUGUUAUUUGUAGCUUGGAGAACAAGUUGAAGCUAUCUUUCUGGAAAUCUCUCGCUGGAUAUUGCAAAGGAGGAGAAAUAUGGCACUCCAAUGAAUUGCAUGCGUUCGGUUGGAGUGAAAGUGAUUUUGUCAAAACUAAGAUGCACAACAAGUAAAAAUCUUCCAUUGCUAGUUGAUAUGAUCAACAUGUAACAGGAGAAAAUGCAGGUGUCAUGAACUGUUCUUCAUCAGUUGCCUAUAAUAUCUCUGUUUUCUUGUGUUUUUGUGUUUUGUUGGACUUGAUGACCGAGUUCCAUUGCUAGUUGAUAGGAUCAACAUGUAACGGGAGAAAAUGCAGGUGUCAUGAACUGUUCUUCAUGAUUUGCCUAUAACAUCUCUGUUUUCCUUGUAUUUUUGUGUUUUAUUGGACUUGAUGACCAAAUUUAAGAUCCAACCAUAGCCUUUGCAUGUGAUCCUUAUAUUAAAUAUUGUUGAUGUUCGAUGCUAUAAAGAAUGUUUGAUUUGAUGAACUAUGCUUGACCUUUAUUUUAUUGGUUCAAAAAAGUUGAUGAAUAUUGAGUUGAAGCUAAGUUGUAAUACAUAAGAACAGCUUAGCUUUGUAGCUUAAAGCUACAAUACAUAUGACAAGCUCUAAGUGUAGUGUAUACAGUUGGUUUGUAGACAAAAGUGAAAUUAGAAAUGAAAAGCUGGUGUAGUUGAAUAGGAAAAAGAAGCUGCUAGAAGGUUCUAUUUUGUAACCUGAGUUUGACUUUGAAUAAGCAUGCGUGUGUUAUACUAUGUCCUUUGUGAGAAUAUGUGAUCCUUAUAGCAACUGAUAGAAACUUUUCUUGUGAACACACUGAUAUGUAGGAUGGAAAAAAUUAUUGCACGUGAUAUUGUAGUCCAUUACAUUGGGAAACACUGUCAGAAUUCCUAAUGUUGAUCCAAAAAACUACCAGUAUAGUGACCUUCUCGGUGAUGUUACUGAUAAGGCAAUGAAUGAUUUGCCUGGAAAUUUGAACAUGCUUAUGGAUAUGAAAUGUGCGAUUCCUAGGACAACAGGCUUUAUGGACAUCAGUAGUGACAAAUCAGUCCUUAAUAUGUUCAAACUUCAUGAAAAAGAUCUUUUUAUAAACUUGUUCUUGCUGCACCUGGAUAUUAUUCCUACUACAUAAGAGAAUAUGGUAGACAACAGGAAUAACCAACUUCAGCUAAUAUAGAAAGACAUAGGAAUCGAAAAAGCUCCUAUUCCUAUAGUUGACAGUGAGGGUGAUAAUGAGAUUUAUGCUUCUAGUUCUGAUGAGUCUUGGAAGGAUGACAUAGAUAGUGACUUGGAAGAUGUCAUAGCUGAAGAUAGGGCCUUAAUUUCUUCCAGUGAUAAGGAGGAAAAUGACUUGUCUGAUUAUGAGGAGAUUGAGGAUGCACAAGUUGUGCCUAAUUCAAAAUCUGACCAAGAAUCAGAUCCUAUGAGAGCAAUCAUGCAGUCAAAAAUGUGGACUUACAAUCCAAGAGGGGACAUUGAGUUUGAGAAAGGGAUGCUAUUUACCAAUGUGGAUGCAUUUAGAGCAGUGUUAAAGGACUAUGCUAUUCAGAAAGGAUUUCGGUUGGUGAGGUUGAAAAAUGAAAAGAGCAGGUGCACUACCAAGUGUGGGACUGAGGGUUGUAAUUGGAGGAUUCAUGCAUCCCCAGUUGUUGAUACAACCACAUUUAUGGUUAAGACAUAUACACCUGAGCAUACGUGUGUCAUGAAUAGGAAAAAUUCAGAAGCAACAUUAGAUUGGAUUGCAAAGAACUUAAUUUCUGUUAUGAGAGAUCACCCAGAGAUGACAAGUAAGGGAGUAAAGGCUGAAAUGCAGAAGCAUUGAGUCUUGCCAAGCAGAAUGCAAAUUUACAGGGCAAAAUAGAAAGCCUUGGAACAGAUAGAAGGAUCACACAGUGAGGCCUAUGGAAAGUUACCAAAAUAUGCUAUCCUUUUGAGGAUGCACAACCCAGGAAGCAUCAUGAAAAUUCACUAUGAUAGGCCAAACCUUCUUAUAGAGUCUAAAUUUCUGAGAUUGUUCAUCUUUUUCAAGGCACAAAGAGAUGGUUUCCUGGCAAGUUGUAGGCCAUUUAUUGGCUUUGAUGGCUGCCAUUUGAAAAGUGCAUUUGGGGGCAUUCUGUUGACUACUGUUACUCUUGAUGGGAACAACAGUUUGUUUCCAUUAGCUUUUGCUGUUGUAGAGUGUGAAAACAAGGAAGCUUGGAGUUGAUUUUUUUACUAUUUUCAGGAAUUCUUUGGACCAUUUCCAGCCAAUAUUCCACUCAUCUUCAUGAGUGAUAGACAGAAAGUAUGUUACCUGGUUGUAUGCUUCAUGUUUCAGAUUUCUUCCAUUGCUGUUGUAGUGGCUGAAUCAAGUAUUUGAAGGAAUUUGUUUCUAAAACUUUUGUAUAGGAACUCAACCUUGCUUAUGAGGAACAAGUGCCUGAAGCUGCUGCACGAUAUUGCUAUUGGCACAUCUACUGCAACUUCAAAGUGAAAUUUCUAGGAUUGCUUCUAAGGAGAUUUUUUUAGCAAGCAACUAAAAGCUAUGAUCUGAUAGGACACAAUGAGGCUAUGGAAAGAAUAAUGAAUGUUAACAUAGAUGCUUGGAGAUAUUUAAGAAACAUUCCUAAGUGUAAUUGGGCAAGGCAUGCAUUUUCUGUUAAAAUUAAGUGUGAUCAUGUCACCAAUAAUUUCACAGAAUCUUUUAAUGCAUGGGUUGGAGAACUGAGAGGAAAGAAUAUACUUGCUCUGGCUGAUGGACUGAGGCAAAAAUUCAUGAAGAAACUACAUAAUAGGUAUCAAAAAGGUUGCACAUGGACAUCUAGUGUUACUCCACAUGUUAUUGGUAAGUUGAAGGAUAUUGCAGCUGAAUCAAGAAGGUGUUCACUAACAAUAGCAAGUGAGAACACAUUUGAAGUAGCAGAUGUCGAUAAGUCCUGUAUAGUCAAGUUGACUGAGAGGACAUGUGAAUGCAGGGCUUUCCAGUUGACUGGCAUUCCUUGCAUGCAUGCUGCACUAGGAGCUAUUUAUAGAAGGGAGAAACUGGAAAGUUAUUGUGAUGCAGCCUUUCCCAAUGAUCAAUAUUUGAAAACAUAUGCAUUCAUGAUCAACCCAAUUCCACAUAUGAAUAGGUGGCCUCCUAUGGAAGAUGUGACACCAGCAAUAGUUUUGCCACCACCACUUAGAAGAAGAGCUGGCAUACCAAAAAGAAAUAGAAGAAGAGCACCUGAUGAAGGAGCUCCUGCAUCUCAACACAAGAGAUCAAUCAGUUUCAGGUGCUCUAAGUGUGGUGCAUUUGGACAUAAUAGGAACUUGUUAAGGAGCUCCUGCUGCUCAAAAAAGAGGCAGCAGUACUUCUACAAAUUAGGUAGCAAGUCGAAGAGGAAGACUAGGAAGAGGCAUUGCCAAUACUGAAUUAGCAGGAUCUGUUCUAUGGGUAAUUGUAGCAAUGUCAAAUUACUGAAUCUUUAUGUAUAUUAAUUCCUUGCAAAUGAGCUUAGCUUUUGGUCAUGAUUUGUCAGGAACAUGCACAAGGAAAUGUCCCGGUCAUUGUAUCAAGUCAAGGCAGUAAUGGAAGCACUCAAAAUCAUGUUGUUGGAGCUAAUGUUCAACUUAAUCAUUCUGCCUGCACUAGUACUAAUACGAGAAAGGUAUAGUUAACCAGAAAUUAGUUUCAUCACCUAUUGCUAACUAUUCUAACUGUCAAGGCCAUUAGAUUAAUAGAAUUUGUUGCAUGCUUCAGAGAGGAGGGCCAAAUGCAAGGGUUGGAACUACUGUUGCUAACAACAAUAAGAGAGCCAGACCUUCCAUUGCUGUUUGUCCACAACAAACUCUAGCAGUCACUUCAUCUGCAAGAUUUCCAACAGUCACUGCAUCUUCAAUAUCCACUUUAGCUAAUACGGGAUCUCACAUUGACAAUAGCAGCAUCAGUAUGUGGUUCUAAUUAGUACGAGUAUUAUGAGUUUUGCUUAGGGAGACUGAUCUGGUAUUAGCAAUCCUCAUCAUCUAGAAUGAUGUUUUUAGAUGAUGUUUUCUGAGAUUCUUGUUGAUUGCUACAUACUUUUGAUUAGUUGUAUAUGUAACGUAUGCCAAGUGGUUAAUUACAUUCCCAGUCCCAGUGAACAACUAAAAGACAUAUGUUUUGGUACUUGCUUGGGAAAUUGCAAUUUACUCUUGCCAAGUAUGCUCUACUGGUAUCCACAGAUCUUGGAACAUAUGAAUUAUUACCUUUAUGUAUGGAAUUUGCUAACUUCAAAGAUGCCAUGCUGUGCUUUUUUUUUUUAACUCUAUGACUCUGAUUCCUUAGGAUUAUGUACUGAAUAUGAACUAUUGUUUUCCAAUGAACUUAGCAGUAAAGUAUUGUUGUUACCUUUAGGAACUUCACCCAUGUGCUUAAUGCAUUUUCUGUCAAGUAUGACUUUUGGUAUAACAUUAAUGCAACAAAUCUGGGGGGCAUACGUAUGAAGUAAAACACAUCUUCAACUCUUUUUCACUUAGCUUAACAUCUUGUCCAACUUACACAUGCCUUCUGGUUCUUUCAUGCAUGACCAGUAAGGCUCCAAACAGCUUGGAACACAUCUACUAUUACUAGAACAAGAAAGUGUCAUUGCUUUAACGAUUUGAAUGAAAAGAUAAAUUGCUAAGAGUACAAGAUUGAUGAUGAACAAGAAGGUGAUGCAUGCAUUCUGUUGAGACACAAAGUUACAUUCCUGAUUUGCUUUCCUCAAUGGAAGCACUACAGAAUCAGCUUCAUUUCUUGUACGCUGCACUUCUUCACCUUCAUUUCUUUGGCUCUGGCUCUGUAUGUUACCUUCAUUUCCUUCAUACCACUGGAAGUAGUUGCACUUUGAACAACUAAAAUAUAGCUUAUCCGGAUUUCUUUCACUUUCUGAGAUUCGUAAUGUUGCCUUGCGGUUGCAUUUACAAUACUGGUUCUUCAUGCUUAAUGAUGAAGGUGAUUUGUAUGACUGCCCUUCAAAGGAUGAGCUAGCCAUUUCUUUGCCCAGUUACCUCUUUAAGUUUUGCAGCUAUUUCAUGCGGUUCCCUCACCUUUUAAUACCGCUAGAAGCACUCAAAGUAGCCGUUGCAUGUCCAACGGUCAUGCAACAGUGCUCAUGCCAGAAAAAAUUAUCUCUAAUUCACAUUUUCCACCUACUGCAACUUUUUCAUGUCACAGGAUUCAGUCAAACUAAGAGUAUGAAGGGAAUUAAAAUACUCUCCCUCCUCCAAAAUGCAUUUUCUAUUGUUACUUUUGCUUAGAGGGGCUGACAUUGUUAAGAAAAUGUCAAUUCAAAGGGUGGUAAGAGAGAUUUCCAAAAUGUGAGGGAAGCUAAGUGAUAUUUCAAGAAACCUCAUGAGAGGUUUCUGAUAUUAUCCCCAUAUUUUAAAGCAUAAACUUAAAAGUCCUUGAUUUUACACAAACAGUUCAUUUUGAUCCAUUAUAAAUGUGCGUCACUUCACAGACUCAAUUUUCAAUGUGCAAUCUAAACACUUUCAUCCAAGAAUAACUUUUUUAUUUUUUUUGCGUAAGCUAAGUUCCAGAUGAGAACCGUUUCUAAUUAUAUUAAAAACCGAUUCUAUACUAAAUGUUCUGGAACUUCCAUCACCAUCAACUCAAUUUCUUAACAGACAUGAAUUAUGUUCCCUUUACCUACUCUUUCUUUUCAUCUUAUCUCUUGACAUUUUCACAAAACGCCUUUAAUCUUUUGGUAGCUAGCUUCCUUUGUGGUUUAUUGGUGUUAUGUUUUGGUUGGUUGGUAUUUGGUAUAUGGAUUAAGCGGUUGGCAUUUAACUUAUCCUGAGAGGGACUUUUGCUAUAUAAGAUGGCCCCCCCAAAGGCCACUAGCAGCAUCUGGUUUUGGCUUGACACUUUCAACCAGGGUGUAAAGUUAAACCCUUCAGUUUCAUCAUAUUCAUUUUGGUGUUGAUACUUUUUAUCUUCACAUUCUGUAGUUUUGUCAGAAGUGAGAACGUGUCUUAUGUUGAGUGAAUUUUGUAGGGGACAUAUAUUACAUAUAUGGCUAAUGCCUGCCAGUCUGCCACAGGGGUUGGUUGCAUUUUGCAUUCAAAGCAGAAUGAUGACAGCAAUUCUGAUUAUGGAUAUAACUCCCUAUGCAAAUGCAAAUUAGAGCAGUUGGCUGCAAAUCCAAAUCCAAAUCCCAACCCUGAAAUUGACAGCAAAUGCAGUACUAUUCUGACUUGGUCUCAUUACUCUUCUUACAGAUUUGUGUUUGUUAUUUUGUUUUUGUUCACAUGUCAAUGUUAAAGAAUGUGCAACAGUCCCUCUUCAGGAUUUACUACAGAAAAGAACACUAGGUGGUCCAACCUUUUUUUCUUUUGUUUUAUUACUAACCUUUAAAGUCUAAAAGACUACUUUCUAGAUUUUCAGAAAAUGUAAGGGAGUAAAAGGUGAAAUACAUUUCUUGACACCACAGAGCGAUCAGCCAUUUUAGUAAAAGAAAAAGGGAUUGUUUGCUAAUAGUCAUCUUUUACUUUUCGUGAAAGAGUUACUUCAAUCCCUCUAUUUUUCCGUCUGUUUCUUGCAACCUAACAAGUUAAAAAGAAGUUGAAAUGUGGGUAAUUUUGACUGAGGCCAAAUUUGCAUUCCAACUCACCUAUGUCCACAUCCUUGAUAUGUAGUAACCACUGUCCCACUGAUUUGAGUGAAUAGUAACUGGCAAGUUUGCCCGAAGCACCUAUCUUGGAUACACGUAGUCACUCCUAGUCACUCCAGGCAGCUCAGUUGGUCACAGGAAAUCUCCUAAGGCCCUGUUGUUCAUUCUUCCCCAUCAGAGAUCGAGUCCCAGUGGUUACCGGUUCGAGGGGAUGGAGCCUCUCCUUUCGGGACUCAGGGAGAUUAGUCGGGUCCGACAUACCCAAAGUCCGGAUACCCUGAGUAGAAAAAAAAAAAAAAAACAUAUCUUGGAUACACUUAAUAUGAGAUUAGUAGAAAUAAUUCUCCUAAUUUACAGUGCAAGUUCUCAGGGAAUAUGUACAGAAACUGAAGGAGCAUUCCUUUCACAAGUGUUGAAAACUACAGCUGCAUAGCAGUACUUCAAGCAAUACAACUCAAGAUCAUUCAUGUUUUUUCAUCUUUAAGUAAGCUUGAAAGUGGUAUCUAGUCUUAAGAUGAAUUUACAUAAUUUUAGUUUUUACAUCCCAUGAAAAAAACAAAUGAACCCAAUUUAGCAAAUGUUUUAAGACCAUUAAGAAGUUAUGGAGUACAAAAUGGCUGGUCUUGCACAUGUAAGUAUCUUUUCUACCCCUUUACCCAGGAGGAAAAAUCCCUCCAUUGAAGAGGCCUUGGAUUCAUGGAUAGCCAGAGAUCCAUUAAUGACUCUGUACCUCCAGUCAGAUAUAGGACUACAGGAGUUUAGGGGACCACUUCUGGUGUUUGUAUGUUAAGUCUUGCUACUGGUGUGACAUGAAGGGCAUCUAAUGGGACACCAAAGAAAGAAGAUGUGACCCAGUUUAAUGUAGGAGACACCACUCGAAGCCAAAACAUCACAGCAUUUUAGGACUGAGUAGGUAUCCUAAGCAUUCACCACAGCAUAAAAGCCAUGAAUAGAUUAUGAUGGGCGUUCCUAAUGGAUACAAAAAUGUACAGCAAAAAUGGCUGUUCAUUCAGCAUGCGCAGCCAACAUUUUUCAAGCUUGUGGGCGUCCAAAGGUGAAUGGGGAUAGGAGUGACGACAGUAGAAAUUUGCCUCUCUUUUAUUUACAUCAUGUACAUAAAAUAUUUGAGUGUGAUUGGGUAUCAAUUUUACUUCAAAUAUUAUUUUAUUCCCACCACAACAGACAUGUUUUUCAAUCAUCUUUUUAUCCUUUCAAAUACCUUUAUAUCCUACAUACGUCAUAUCUUAAAAACUCUUACAAUCCCAUGGUUAAUUAUUCCUAAUAAUGUUUCAAAUAAUCUCCUAACUAGUUGGACAAUCCUUUAAGCUUAAUACGAAUGCCAGUGUUACUUCUUCUGGAGCAUUUGGAGGGGGUCUUCUGCCAUCUCAUGAGGGCAAGUUAGUUUUGCUUUUUACAAGGAGUUUGGGGAGGCUAGUGUUGUUUUUGCUGAACCCUAUGUCAUUAUUGGUUGGUUCGAUCUACUGCCAGGAAAGAAACAUCACAGGGUUUAUGGCCGAUGUGGAUUCGAAAUCAUUAGUUACAAUGGUCUCGUCUGAUAUUUUGGCACGUUGGCCUCUUUGCAGUGUGCUGCGACUGAUAAGGGCUCUGCUAUCGGGUCUUGGAGUUUAUCUGCAUCAUGUCUUUAGGCGGGCUAAUUCGGCUGUUGAUGCAUUAGCUUCGUCUCAUUUAGGGUUGUCACGUCGGAGGACAGUCUUCCCAGCUAUGUCAGAUCAGCCAUUCAUCUCGAUUGUGUCUCAAUUCCUUCGGUUAUAGGCUCCUUUCGAUCAGGAAAUAGUAAACCUUCUUAUCGUAUACAGGUCUUAUUUGGUCCUCUCUAGUUCUCGUGCUUUGAUUAAUAAACUUUCUUAUCUGAAC